GGCUCUGCUGUUACUGAAAGGCUGGAUCACCAGCUUGACUGUGUACCUCGUCAUCAACCGCUAUGUUUUCCCUAGGAAAGACCUUAAAAGAGUGUUCUAUCAUAUAUCAAUUAAGCUUGUAACAAUCAUAGAUAUAAAUAACUGGGAAAGUCAUAAGAAAUUAAAAUCUAAACAUAUAAGGAGAUAUAAGAUGUCAAGAGAGAUUGAGAAAUUGAGAUCGAAAUCGAGAUUAAGAGAGGGAGGGAAGGAGAGAGGGACCUAGAACUUAGAACCCUCUCAUCCCAACACCCCCUAAACCACCACCAACAAAACCACCACAAAACCCUCGUGCCCAUGCAUUAAGAAUUCAAUAACAUUUCCAGCGAGCAGUUUAACACAACAUUAUAUAUGGGAAUUUUCUUUUGCAAUAUUUGACUUCUGUUUCUGUAUUACCAUCUCUCCUCUUUUCUGCAUUGUAUCUGUACCUUUUUUUCCUCAGCAUAUCUGUUGGCAUUGAACUUCUAAUAUGGUGAUCAGCAUAUCUGUACCUUAAUCGAGAAAUAUGGUUAAUCUGAUUCCAAUAGCAUUUACUAUUUAACUUAGGUGAAUGUUUCCAAUAGCGUUUACUGUUUAACUUUGCAAAGCCAUUUAGAUAAAUGAGGUUUAAUUGCUCAAAGGUGUUGAACUCUUCCAUCAUUAUUGGUGUAGCCUUGAUGAUAAUGGUGAUGACAAUAUGUGUAUGUGUGUGUAAGUUAUGUGUUUUAUGAUGGUGGAUUUUUUGCUGCAUUUGAAUAUUUGGAGUUUACUAUCACUGUUGAAUUUCUUUGUGCUACUGAUACUUUUGAAGUUACAAUAUUUAUUUUUCAUGUGCUUUUUUUGAAUUUCUUGGUUGUGUAUGAGCACUUUGGACAAAAAUCAUGAUAGCUAAAUCCUACACACAGUAGGUUUUUUCAUUUGAUUCUCAUCUAUUUGCAAUUGACUAUGUUGACUUUAGAUUGAUGCUCCUCUUUGUGGUUCUUAUGGUCUGAAUAUUAGAUGGUAGAAAGCGUAGGAGAAAGUCUGCAUCACUGGUGUUGCACAAAAAAAAAAGGAGACUAGUGUCAUUUACUCCAACAGAAGAUCAUGCACAAAGACUAAAACAGAUGGGUUCCCUUGCUUCUGCUUUAACAGCAUUGCACAUGGAAUUCACUGAUGAACUCACCUACAUGCCGGGCAUGGCUCCUAGAUCUGCCAAUCAAGCAAAGUUUGAAAAUGGUGGCAUGCAGGUUCGAAUUUAUAAUUCAUUUUCUCUCUGGAAUUUAUUUUUCUUCAUCUAGGAGGUUUUCUCAGUAGUUUAUUUUUCCAUGUUACAUUUUUCCUGUUAGGUUCUUUCCAAAGAAGACAUAGAAACCUUGGAACACUGCAGGGCUAUGUCUAAAAGAGGCGAAGGCCCACCACUUAUAGUAGCUUUUGAUUCAUUUGAAGGGUAUUUUGGUCCUGAACUUAUUUGUAACAGUUGCAAUUCUAUUUGAUAUAUUCAUGCUAAACCUGUUCAUGUUUAUUUCUUCAUGCAGUUAUACCGUAGAGGCUGAUGGCCUGAUAAAGGAUAUGACAUUUAUUGCUGAAUACACAGGCGAUGUGGAUUACAUCAGGAAUCGGGAACAUGAUGAUUGUGACAGUAUGAUGACCCUUCUUUUAGCAACCGACCCAUCUAAAAGUCUUGUCAUCUGCCCUGAUAAACGUGGAAACAUUGCUCGCUUUAUCAAUGGCAUUAACAAUCAUACUUUGUAAGCCCAUGUGACCUUCACUUAUUGUUCCAUAUUCUGAAAAAAAAAAAAAACUCAUUAUCCUAUUUUUUCACUUAUAUUUCAACUCUUGGAUUGGCUACUUCAUACUUCUAGUUAUCAAGUUUGACCUCCAUUAAAAUUCCCAUUACAGAAUUAUUUGCUUCUUUAUAGCAAAAGUUUCCUUUGAACUGAGGAUAUUUAAAUCCUUGCUUGAAACCUAUUCAAUUCUGUGCAGGGAUGGUAAGAAGAAGCAGAAUCUAAAAUGUGUGAGAUACAGUGUGAAUGGUGAAUGUCGGGUCCUUUUGGUUGCUACUCGUGAUAUUGCUAAGGGGGAGAGGCUAUAUUAUGACUAUAAUGGUUAUGAGCAUGAAUACCCAACCCAUCAUUUUGUCUAAGAUUUCAUAUAGAUGUUAGUGUUGAUGUGUCUGCAGAAUUUUUCAUGUAAUUCUGGAUCUUCUUGCAUCCUUUGCUUUUCAGUUUUCUUUCACAAUUUAAUCAUUGUUGUUGCAGGGUCUAAAAUUUUUCUUCCUAAUUGUAAUCUUGGGCCAUUUAUUGUAAUUUAUUAUAUAGCACUGGCCAUUUAUGUGGCCAUGAGAGAAAUAGAGCAGGCGGGGAAAGUAACUUUGCAAUUUAACAUGUGAAGGAACGGAGAUGUCAGGGAAAUAUGAAAUAGAGAACGUCAUCUUUUUUUAUAAUACAGUUUUGAAGGCAGAUUUUACUUUAAUCUGAUGGUUGGCAUUCUAUAUAUGCUGAGAUAAUUUACUCUUUGAUGAAAUCUUGGAAGGGACCUUCCUUCAAAUAUUCUUUUCAUUGUGCCAUUUUAAUAUUCUCAUGUUAUAUUGAUCCACCCCAUAAAAGAAUUAUAUGACGAGCAAAAAUGAAAAUUGAAAUUUGCAACUUUUCAUUUCCAUUAUACUGCAGUAUUUUUGCAGUUACAUCUUGUUGGUUCUGAUUCUUCUCAUGGAAACUAUACUUUGAUGUCUGCAUCUUUGGAACUGGAAGGAGCACUUUCUUUCAGGCAUCUAUUAGAUGGAACCUUCGGCAAUGAUCUAUGGUGGACAUUCACAAAUUUGGGGUCCUCAACAAUGUAUAAGGUGAAAUUUAUUUGCACCGAGUAAUAUCAAGCAAGAAGGUAAUGUUGCAUUUCUUUCUUAUAGUUUGAUUGUUCUUGUACAAUACUUACAAUUUUCAUAAAGGUGAAGGGCAUCUCCUCUAUGUUUAUUCAAACUUAAGAAUAUUAGGCAAAAUGUUAAUAUCUUUCUUUCUUGUUGCCUUGGCUGUGCUUGUUACUACUUACAGUUUUAUUUGAUUUAAUUACACCAUCCUAGCUGCCCCUUCCUUAAGUCUUUUUAUGUGACAUUGUUGUUCUGCAUUUGUUGGCAUUUAAGAGUUUGUUGAGUUGAUAUUGCACUAACUUGUUAUCCCGCCUAAAUAAUAAUUUUUUGUGAUGAUUUCUGUAGAUUCAUGGUAAUGUGUAUAGCCUAUCAAAUAAAAAAAAAAAAAAGAGUCUACUGCCUACAUAAUGGACAAAAAUAUUGAAUCGUUGUUCUUUUUUCUUUUUCAUUUGAAUGAAUGGUUCUUCCUCUUGUUGAUUCAGUCUGAUAUUAAUGGAGAUGAUUUAGUUGUUGGUUUUGUCAAGGAUCUUGUCAACCUUGUAUUCCUGUAUUUCGUUUUGUCUGUUUAGGUCUUUGCAUAUAUUAUUUGUUGUGGUGGUGAUUGUUCCCUUUUUCUCCCCACUGUGGUGCUCUAUUCUCUAUUGUUUUUUUUAAACACUUUCAGGUGUUUUUUUUCCCCUUUUUUUCUUUCUUCCUUUUUUUAUUUUUUAAAAUGCUAGAGGUGUUUUCCCGGAAUCUAAGAGAGAUUUUAGUACCUAAGACUGGAUUGCAACUUAUUUGUAAUAUCUAGGCUAAUUAGGCUAAGUGAAGAUCUUGUUUGACUGCCACAUGGAGUAUGGUAGGCGAGCGGCUUUCCACAUUCUAGGUAGUACUCAUGAGUCAUGACAUGAAGACUAAUCCCAAGAGUUUUUUCUCAUUAAUAGGAUGUUUCUUUCAAUCCUUUUCAAAAACAAUGUAAAACUUAGUUAUAUUCCAUUAAGCUAACUCUUUCUUUAAGCGACAGAAACUUCAUUUGCAGCUUUAUUAAAAUUAUCAAAUUAUAAUGAGUUGAAUGAUUUUUGCUUGGGUAAGCAAAAUAUGCCCAUCUGACAAAUUUCUUCUUUCAGCAAAGAGAUUUCAACUAGGAUCUCAAAGCAGCUCAGAGACAGCACAUAGGUAACACAUUCAUUUUGUUAUUUAAUCUUCUAUUGCACUGCAGAUAUGUAGGAAAAUGGAUUCACAUGCCUUUGCUAACAGGAAGAUUCAGCAGUAUCUGGAGGAGAAAGUCCCAUGGAAGGAUGUAGGAAAAUUAUGAACCGCAUAGGCUUGGCAUUGAGAAGGAUCCGAGAAGUGCUAUUGAGGCUUGUGUGAAACUGGGUUCUCUAUGAAGUUCAAACCAGUCUACUAGUGUUCCAUGAUCAAUCAAGGUUUAACUUUGAGAAUUCUCUUUCCUCUGAGGCCUUCUAGAUAUGUUUCUUCUGAAAUCCACAGAUAGUGGCUGCAUUCAUUGAUUUGUGGUAAUGUGGAAAACAUUUGCAAAUGUAGUAUUUGUAGCUCGAAGGAUAUAGUAAAGUUUUCUUAAUUGGAUAGUUAAACACAGGCGUCUAAUAAUUGAUGUUCUUGUGUGUGUGGGUUUGUUGUUGUCAUUGUUGUCUUUUCUUUUCUUCUUAUUCUUUUUUUUUUUCUUCUUCUUCUUCUUCUUUUUGUUGCAGUGAGCAUUCAAGAUCAUGGGUUGUAGAUAUAAGCAGAAUAAAUUUUAAGGAUGACAUUGGUUGUACAUGUGGUGAGUGUUUGUAAAAUAAAGUUAUCAUUCUCAUGGGAGACUUUGGAUAAUGUAUUUGAAAGUUUUGGAGAAGGUUAAGUCAACUUCUUGUUGUAAAGAGAUCGAUUUUUUCCCCCUUUUUUCUCAAUUUGAUUGGAGAAGUGUCAGUAUUGUAUAUCAGAUACAAAGAAUCACUUGAUGUAAUUUAAAUUUAUCAAUCUCUUUUGUUUUCUUUGGGACCAAAAUGCUGUCAAUUUCCCUUAGUAUUUACAUAUUCUGCUUACAGUUACAUUAGCAUUUCUGGAUAACAAUUAUGAUGGUGUGCGGUGUGAAUUAGACUGACUUAUGCUCAGUUCUUUCCUGAUCUAGUCAAAAUUGUUGGGGAAGCGUAAAGGACAAUAGAUGUAAGUAAACAAUAGUGAGCCUUAAGAGCGACACUUCUGAAGUCCCCAAGAGAUUAGAGAAUCAGUUAGGGCUAGAAAUUAUUGGAUGAUGUAGGAUAUCUGGUUUGGUUUAAAGACUCAAUUCCUAAGCAGGCAGAGAUUGUUAAACCCGAAAGUAUGUUCAUAGUUAUGAAUACUGAACUUAUUUUAAAAUAUGUACCAAUCCUUUUUGUCAUCAGGGAAGGAUGUUGGGAGUUGCUUCAGCUUCACAUUGAAUCAGUUAGAAACAUUCUAAAAGGAUAACAAUGAUCACUAUUUUAGAUUUGGUUUCAGUAAUGGAGACUUCCAAGUUUGUUUACUGAUUCUUGUAGAGUGGGAAAAGAAAAUGCUGAAGCUCAUCCGCCUUUAGUUUUUUACUUUUAGUCUUGAGUUCAUGUCAGGUCAAGAAUCCCAUCCCAUUAAGCCUCUUUAUUUCCAUUUACUUCGUUAACUUACAAUUCUACUAGGUUAAAUUAUAAGCUUAGGUUUUAGGGCAGGAUGGUAAAAUCAGUAAAAUUCAUAGAAACAGUAAGCCUUUCCGUAGCCUUGGUGGCUAGGCUCAAGUAAUCUUUGUUUCUUUGUUUCUUUGUUUCUUUCUUUUAGUUACCUGUUUUCUCGUAACCUCCUUUACAAGAUUGUUAGAGGGUUUCUUGUUUGGGAGAAAAUUCUGCCAUUCACAAAGGGAAUGCUGCUUUCUACGAACUGGAAGGAGCCAAUCAACCGUAUUUUUGUACACUAUAAUAGUAUCCUGGAUCCUAACUUGGGAUCAUUUGCCACAUUUAUCUGUCUGUUGAAUCCUCAGUUGGCUGCGCCUAAGUCCUUUUAGACCUUCCUCUUCUCCUUGGCGCUUUCAAUUCAAUCAAUCCCUCACUCAUUUAUCCUAUUCUAGGGGUCCUUAAUCAUCCACUCCGUAUGGAUAAUCAAAUAAACACAAUGAAAAUGGUUGCUUUAGGUAUUUUUGGGCUAUUAAUUUUCAUAUGCACCUUUGGAUUCAAAGAUAUCUCUCCAUUAUUCUAACUUGAACUAACUUCUCAUCUACUUUUGUUGACUCAAAACUAUAUCAUUUGCAAAUGACAUGAAGCAUUGUGAGAAGGCUCAAUCUGAACUUGAUGUCAGCUUGUGGAAAUAAAGUAAAUAGUUUCUCCUCCAAUUGUCCUCUUGCUAGUUAUUGCUCCAUCAUAUAUUUCUUGAUCAAGAUGAUAUAGUUUAGGGGUUAAUGUUAAAAUUAUCAUUUUUAAAAAAUUAUAAUUUUUUUAGCAUCUUCCUCAUUAACAAUAAUACAUGAAUGGGUUUAUCAGGAUUAAAACAAACCACGGGUGUUAUGUUAACUAAUGCAUCUUCAUGUUACUUCUGCUAGUUAAAUUCUACUUGUGUGUAAAUUUUUAAGAGUUCCAUGUGCCAAGCUAAUGCAAUUAUAGGUUCCCACAUCGACUGCUCUUCAUUUACAAUUGUGGUUUAUACUUUCGUUAAGUUUUUGGUUCACAAGUCAGAUAUUAUUUUCUUCAAAUAUGAUUUUUUUCUGGUUUAUACUUUUAUUGUUGGAAUAUUCAUUUACUAUUCUCCAUCCAAGAAGGCGGUUGGCAAGGAAAUACUUUGAGCUUGUAGUAAAACUUUACAAAUGGUAGGUUUAUGCUUCUGCUAAACCAAAAUGGAUGGAUGGAAACUUGAGAAUAAGGGCUCAAAGUAGUAGAUUUGGCACAGAAGGUGGGAGGAACAAGAUGAAGAAGACCACUGUAAGGCAUUGCUUCACCUCUACACUCACAACUUAUCAGUGAACACUCACAAUAGCUGUAGUGCUGGGAUAGAAACAGCAGUACUGCAGGAAGAACAAACUUCUUUAAUGCUUGAUUAUAGGAUUUAUUCAAAAUGUUACUGAUAUGUAUGACUUAUUUUCAAGUAUAUAUUCAGAUUGAAGCAUUGAUCAUGGUUCUAGAAUAGUACACUCAUCUUACUUCAAACAUCUGGGCUUUCAGCAUAUGAUGUUGAUGUAUUGCAAGCAUAUUUGUUUGAUGUAGGAGAUACCACAGGUCCACAACCACAUAUGCAAGAGGGCAGAAGAGGGAGAUGAUCUACAUAUAUGAGGUGAGUUUAUUUUUCAAAUUUUAGAAAGCUGGAACUUUCUUAGUCCAAUUCCAGAAAGCUAGGAUGUGGGUCUGAUUGCCCAUGCUUACAUGCCAAACCGCCCACCUGAAUGAUUAGCUUUGUACAUGACAUGGGAAGAUAAGGCUCAUAAGGGUGUGGGCCGUAUGGCCUUCUGACUUCUCAGUGCUUUAGGGCGCUGCUAGGAGUAAUGCCUUUGCAAAAUGGGAAUAUAUAUUGGAAAGAGUGGAUAUAAUAUGAACUGGAUACAUGGCUAUUAAUCUCACUUAAAAACUCAAAUUGAAAACCUUGCUGCAGCACGUCCUCCUCAUAGAUUGGAAAAUAUGAAGGCAUCACUUUGUUCAUGGCUCCUAUUAUUAGGCAAUAUAUAUGAUUCUCAUCAUAAGAACAGCUCUCAAAAAAUUAUAUAUAUUUCUGGUAUAUUAUGAUGAAGAGACAAUCUCUUUGGACCAUGCCUCUAUCUGCUUAUGAAUGGCUGAGCUCUUAGAUCAUAUGUGUUAUGUUAUAAACUAGGGUCCCAUUUUUCUAUCUGACUUCAGUACAGUUUGAAUGCACUGCAAAGUAUAAUCUGUGGCAGAUUGGUUGAGUGAUGAUGCAAGGUGGGUGUGAUCGUGGAUGGGGUUAGAGACCUAUAAUUAGAGGCAAACAACAAACAAUAUGGGCUUGGAGUGCCAUGAUUGGAGUGCAGAGGUGGCUACCACUAUUCUAAGAGACCCACAAAGAUAUCUGGUACAUCAAACUCUGCUACCAUAUCUUACUUGAUUUAACAAGUCCUGAGAGGAAUGUUUCCCAUUAUUUCCAUCAUUCAAAUUUGGGCAAAAUCUAGGAUAUGGGAUUUGGGUCCCCCCACCCAUCCGCUUAUGGGGCUUCCCUCUCCACCAAACCCCAUGUCCUAUGUUACCCAUUUGUGUCUUGUGACUCCAUCACUCCAUCCCUCUACCUUUUUUUUUUUUUUUUUUUUUCUUUUCUUUCUUUUUAAGGAAAAAAAUUCAAUUAUCAUACAAUAAUGGAAUAAAAUAUUUUUCAUCAUGAUUAUUAUCUUUUAUUUGAAUCUUUCACUUUCAAUUCUUUCUCAAGAUUGUGGGUCCAUUUGGGUUGUAAUGACAUUUAAUGUCUUUGUGGGUUGGCUUUCAUGGUUAUUGACACUCACAGUCACAAAAUUACUUGCCUAUUCUAUUGCAGACCCAAUUUCAUCUUCCUUGGGGUUAGAUUUUAAAAUUUACUUAGUUGGAAUUCCAAUUUAAAUCCAAACUCCAUAUGUAAAAUUUAACAGUUGGAAGUUAUUAAUGAAAAUUUAUGUGAUUCCUUAGAAAUUUCAAAAAAUGCAUAAAGCUAUAUGAAUUAAAUAAAUGGUAUAUGGUUGAAUUUGUAACCCAAGCAUGUCUUGCAUUCAAACCAAUGAAUGAGGUGGAGAACCUACUCAAAGCUCAGAAUUGGCAACUAUUCAACAUGAGAAGAUAAUUUGAGAACAAAGGGAGAUUGAAGAUUUAUUAAUUGUUAAAAAUUUAACUUUACAAUUUUUAUUUUUAUUUUUAUGACAACAACCUUUAAAAGGGUCAUUUCAAAGUAUGAUGGGAUGUCUCUCCAUCAAGGUGUGUUUCUCAUUAAUAAUAAUAAUAAUAAUAAUAAUAAUAAUAAUAAUAAUAAUUAAUAAAUAAAUAACUAAAUAACUCUUAAAAGGAUCAUUUUAAAGUAUACCCAUAUUUCCAAGAAUUAAAGGUUAAAUUAUUUAAAAAAAAUAGAAAUAUAUUUAAUUGACACAUAUUUUACUUUUCAUCUCAAAAAAUACAAUAGUAGUAUACACCAAUUAAAUAUUUUUCUAAAAAUAUUUGAAACUUUAUUCUAAAAAGAAAAACCAGAAUAUUCCAAAAUUCUAUUUUACCAACAAAAGUGAAAGCAUAAAAAGUAUAUUCAAAUAACAUCUAAAUAUUACCUUAAUCGAACAAGCCUUAAAUUUUAAAAUGCCUUCUAAUAUAUAUAUAUAUAUAUAUAUAUAUAUAUAUAUAUAUAUAUAUAUAUGUUUUUUUUUUUUUUUUUUCCUCAAGAGAUAAGGUGGAUGACUAGAUAAAAAAUAAGGACCCUCGAACUUCCAAGUAGUUGAUGUCCCCCAAAAACAAGAAACCAGAACUUUAGAGGUAGCUUCUGCAACAAGAACACACCUUUCUAGUGUCAUUUUCAUUUUAAGUUUCCACACAACAGUAAUAAUAUAAGGAUAUUCUCUCUGUAUUCCUCUUUUACCAUUUUUUACUAUGGCCCAUUCACCUGCUCUUUGCUAUGUUGCCAUAUGUCAUCAUAUAUCUGUGAGUCCACCGCCUCAUUCACAUAUAUAUAUACUACUUCGAUGUGUAGAGCUUACAGUACUCCCCCACAUUUACUUUCCACCCAAUCCAAUCUUCUUCACAUAUGGGUAGUUUAGAGGAGGAGAUGUUGGUUCAGAUGGUCCAUGAUUUCAUUGAGUCAGAAUCUGCAACGCCCCUUUGCUCUUCCACCUCUGAGAGCCUAAAUCCCGAGCAACUGCAGUCCAAGUAUUUUACUUUACUGGUAUGUUUCAUGUGUUCAUGUUGUUAAUUUUUGUAUAUGUUUCCCGAGCUGUACGCGUUGAUUUUGAUGAGGUUUUGCAAUCUUGUGUGGUUUAUUUUAGGAGGUUUUGAGGAGCAGGACAGAUGCUGAGAGUGGGGUUCUUGAGAAGGUGGUGAGGCAUAUGAGAAACAAGAGGGAUGCGGACAGGAGUAACAGUUUGAAGAAAUGGUUUGUCAGGAGGCUGAAAAUGGAUGGGUUUAAUGCUUCUCUUUGCCAAACGUCUUGGCCUACUACCUUGGGUUGUUCUGCUGGUGAGUCUCUCUGGUAGUCAUCUCUUCCUGUGAUGACUACCCAUGUUAGAUUAUGGGUAGUACAAUAUCUUUUUUCGUUUUUUUUUUUGGGUCCACCUGAAGCUGAUCAUCAUGUAUUCUUUUGGUGACAACAGGUGACUAUGAAUACAUUGAUGUUGUAAUGAAAGGCGAUAAGAGUAGUGGUGGUGGUGGUUCAGUGAGAAUAAUAGUGGACAUAGACUUCAAGUCCCAGUUUGGAGUUGCGAGGCCAACAUCAGCCUACACACAGCUCUCUGAGGCGCUCCCAUCAAUCUAUGUUGGGAAUGAAGACAAACUUGAUAGGAUAAUCAGCAUCCUAAGCUCAGCAGCAAAGCAAUCACUGAGAGAGAGAGGGCUUCACAUACCCCCAUGGAGAACAGACGCAUACAUGAGGGCCAAGUGGCUCUCAGACUGCCACAAAGUACCAGCUCCUCAUCAUGCCAUCGCUUUUAGCAGAGAAAAUGGAGAAGCCAAGAGUAGUGCACAUGGCUCCUCUAAGCCCUCAAAGUGGGCACCUCCCAUGGUGAAACCCAAAACAAGGGAUUUGGGUGGUGAGUCUGCCUUGUCUAGUCAAUUCUCUAACUUGGGCAUCAACUGCUGCUAACCUUCCAAUUUUGCCACCACUCAGUCUCAGACUCCAUUUUUUUGGUCUUUCCUUCUUGAUGUUUUUGCACUGGAAUUUUCUUUUGCUCAACUACUUGGCCAUCAGAUCUUUUUCUUUCUCUACUGAGACAUGAACAAUGCAAUUAACCAUUUUCAAUUUUUUCUUUCUUGCAUGGUUUAUUAUGAGAUUGAUUCCAACUGCUACAAAUACUUGCUCACUAUCCAUCACUUUCAUUCUUCUAAACCAUCAAAUAAAAACUUUACUAAUGAAAAUUUUAAUUACUUGCGUAUCCAAAUAGCUUAAGCUUUCUAUAAUUAACUAAUCAAAGUUUGAUAAACUUGAGAUCACAGUCUGAUUCCCUUUGAUUAAUUGUUUUAUAGAAUAAUAAUCACCAGGAUGACACAUGUCUAUGCAAUUGAUUGUUUCCCUUGAUUUAUAUUUUCCUUUCCCAUCCCUCUUUAAUGCAGAUGUGCUAGCUUUGCAUGACCUCACUUCCCUAUAUCUACAUAAAUGUGAUGUUAAAAAUAAAUUAAAUAAUAAUGUUAAUACCAUAUACAACAACCUUUUCUCUUUCUUUCUUAUCCAAUUUUUGAUGGUAUAUUCUUUUCUCAAAUCCCCAAUAAUAAAAUUUAUAUUAGCAUAAACUUAUUUUCCUCAUUUUUUUUAUCCACCUUUAUGAAAUAAUUUCAUCCUUGUAUGGUAUCAUAAAAGGGUUUCUUUUUUUUCUUAAAAUAAAAUAAAACUUACUAAAAACAAAAUAGUAGUGAAUCAAUCUUCUUCAAGCUUACUUUAUAUCACUUUUUCUUCACACAUGCAUGCAUAGUAAGAGCGACACUUGUACACAUAGUAUGAAAAGGUGCACAAUUUAUUAAAAAGAUAAGGAUUUACAUCAAAAAAAUCUAAUGACACAUUUGGUAAUUAUUUUCGAAAAUAGUUUUUUGUUCUUCAAAACAAAAAGUCAGGAAAUCGAGUUUGACAAUUAAAAAUUAUUUUCUAUUUUCUAUUCUUAAGAUUAGAAAACAUGAUAUUUUUAUAAAACACCUUUUAAUUAUUUUCCAUUGUUAUCACUUAUUUUUUAAAUAUUAUUUUAAAAAAUAAUUAUACAAAUAUAUAAAAUGAUUAAAAAGUAAAACACUACAUAUAAGAAUAAUUUUUUAAAUAUAUUUUAAAAUGUUAAAAACAUAUUAAAAAUAAUUUAGAUUUUUAUACAUAUUUUUGUUUUACAAAACAUUUUUUCAAAACUGAUUUCGAAAAAGUUGGUCGGCCUAAAUUUCCUUUCAUGGGGGUAGAUUCCUUCCUUCAACAUAUGGUGAAUAAUUGACAUGCCAAUGAGCAGCCUAAUGUCCACUAUUCCUUUAAAAAAUUUCACUAUUUUAUAGUGUUAUGAUUGAAUUCUGAUUGGUUAAUAAUAAACAAGUAGGCACUAAAAUAUGUUGCAGAUAAGUUUUGAUGGGAUUUGAUUGGUUGGGUUAGAAAAAUGGUUUAAAAAAGUUGAAUAAAGGAUGAAAAAUUAGGGAGGCAUUUUUGUUUUUUGGUACAAUGAUUGAUGAGCAAUUCAAGGUAGAUUCUUUGUCUGAUCCCAGAAAUGAGAAAAAGGGUGUGGAAGGGCUGAGAAGGUAAAAGAAGAAUAUAAUUUGAAGCAUAUCCAAGUGUGAUGUAGACAUGGUAGGGAAAAACCAGCGUGGGAAAGGGUAUUUGGAAGGAGAAACCAGUGGGUGCAUGAAAACAAGUGGCAGAAAACUAGGGGGGCUAUGGGGGAAAGGAGGCUUCCCUAUUUAUAUUUACACAUCAUGUAUGUCCAAAUAAACACUAGUAAUGCUCUUGUCAUUCCCACCUUACAUUUGUCCAUUCUUGAUUCUGUCUUUUUCCUCCAUAUUACAUUCCAAAAUCGCAACUCCCACCUCCUUUCCAAGUGGGUAUCAAAAAGAAUCCCGGCUCAUUGUAUUAGAAAGUGUGAUUAAUUAUAUAGAGAGAAAGAUAGAGUUUUAUUCCUUUUUAUUAAAUUUAAUCUUAUUACUUUAUACUUUAAUAUUAUCAUUUAUAUUGCUUUUUGUCUAUAUAAUGCAUACAACUUUGAUUGUUGGUUGGACUGGUUCGAUGAUUGGGACCCAUUUGGUACCCUAAAAUUUUUCAAUCAAAUAAAAUGUCUAAAAAAAUAAAAUAGUUCGUGUGUUUGCCAGAUUGAUUAAAAAGAUACUGCACUCAGAUGUAGUUUUAUAAAAAAAUUUAAACCUUUUACAUUUUGUAUAAAUUUCAUUGAAUUCAAUAUACAAAUUGCAUAGUUGAUGAUGUAAAUAGAGUUAAGCUUUAUUUGAAUAAGCUCCACAAGCUUUUUAUUUUUCUUCUUAAAACUUUGAAAGAGCUUCUUAUUGUGUCGUAAUUUUAUUAAGAAAACUUAUAUGUUUUUAGUAAAAUAAAUAAUAUUAACGAUAUCACUUUUAUAAAAUCUAUUUAUUAGCUUAUGAUGAAAGUAAUUUCAUUAUGAAUUAAGAAAUAUUUUGGUCAAAAGCAUAAAAUAAUCUCUGCAUUAAAAAUAACUCUCAUGUUUUUAAAUAUUUUGGUCAUCUUUCAUAUUUUAAAAAGUAUUUAGGCUGAUUUUCUAAUUUAUUGAUAAUUUUAUCUCUUUAUAAACUUUUUAUCUUAUUAAUAAAUUUUAAUUUAUUAGAAAUUAAAAAAAGAAAUUAAUGAGUGACCAAAAAUAUUUGAAUACAAUAUACUUAAUUAAAAUAUAAAUAACUCUUGCCAAAAAAUUCUUUUUUUUAAAAGAAAAUUCUUUAUUUUAAAACUUCCAAAUUUUUACAUGGGACUAUGCAAACUUUUGAAGGAUCUUUUAGUAAAAAUAGUUAAUAAAAAUUAACAAGAUUUAUUUAUUUUUAAAAGUCUUCCAAAAAUUUUCUUUUAAAUUUCCUUUUAGAUUUAUUUAAACUAAUAAGACUUUUAUUUUUAUUUUUUAUUUUUGUUCUCACAGGAGUUUUUGAAUUUUAAUUUAUUUUAAUUUUUAAUAUUUUAUUUGUUUGCAUUAAUUCAUAUAUGGGAAAUAAUAUGUAUAAUUUUACAUGCUUUUAUUUUUCUUCCAAUAUUAUUUUCCACCAACAUUUUACCAUAAUAAUAUAUAGAAUUAUGUUUUUUAAUAACUAUAUUUGAAAUUGAUAUUAUAAUUUGAAAAAAAAAUUAAAAUGUAAUAAUUUUUAUUUAAAAUUUUUGUUUGAUUUCUCAAUAGUAAAAUUACUCCCAUUAAAAUUUAAGUGGAUGCAUGAAAAGUGGAGAAAUAUAGAAUAAAAAUUGUUGGAGUGGAGCCAUGUAGCCUGGUGGCUUUGAAAUUUAGGCUCACUAAUCACUGAUGUUGGAAUAAUGGGAUAUGAAAGAUAGGGAUUUGAUAUAAGAAAUGAUGGGGAUUAUGGUUAAAAAAAUGUAGAGAUUAUAAUGAUGGGAAACUUGAAAUUUAGGAAGUGAUUAAAGUAGUUCAAUUUCAUGCACUUUCUUAGGUGUAAUAACAUAAUAAUUGGUGAAGCGACCAAAUUUUGACCAUGGACCCACCAAAUUAAAUAUGAUCGACAAGUCACCACCUUUGAGUCUACUCCAAUUUCAGACAGUUUUUUUGGGGUAUAUUUUCACUACCAAGAGAAUAAAGUAGUGACUGUGGACUUGGGUUUGUUUUAUAUGGGGAAUAAGCCUUUUUUUCUUUAUUAUUAUUAUUAUUAUUAUUGUUAUUAUUUUGGCUUUUUACAUUUUUAAUGUAUUUAAUUUAAGGUGUUGAAUGUGUUCCUCCAUCAAAUAUGUGAUCAUUUUUAUAUAAAAAAGAAAGGAACUUUUAUUAUUAUUAUUAUUAUUAUUUAUGGUUAUAAGAUGCUUUAAAAUAUUUUAAAAUUUUGAGGUAGUAAAGCUUUUUGAAUAUGAAGGAUUAAAAAAAAGUGUAAAUUUUUAAAUAAUUUUAUUUUAUAUAUAUAUAUAUAUAUAUAUAUAUAUAUAUAUAUAUAUAUAUAUAUAUAUAUAUAUAUAUAUAUAUAUAUAUAUUUCUUUUUUAUGCAAAUUAAAUAUAUAUGCUAUUUUCCUACUUAUUUUCUUCCUCUAAUAAGCUUCAUGAUUCAAAUUAAGAUUUAAAAGUGAGAUAAACUAUAAAGUAGAAAAGUAUGAAUUUAAUCAAAAGAAGAAACCAUUUCCAUGGGCUUUGCCUUGAAGCUUCAAUGUAGACUCGAAUACCACUCAUUUAUUAAUAAUUGUAUCAUAUUUUUUUAUAUGAACAUAACUUAUUGUAUAAAUAAUAAGGCAUGAUUUGUGUAACACAUUUAAUAAAUAUGUUAAAUAGGUUUUGAGAUACAUGGACCACCACAUUACCAACAAGGUAUGAUUUGUGUAACAUGUUUAAUAAAAAUAUGUCAAAUAAGUUUUGAGAUAUACAUACCACCACAUUAUCAACAAGGCAUGAUUUGUGUAACAUAUUUAAUAAAUAUGUCAAAUAGGUUUUGAGAUACACGUACCACCAAAUUGUGAUAACGUGAAGGUCGAGGACAUGUUUUCCAAGAACUUGGAUCUCAAACUUCUAGAUAGCUCUUUUAGGAUUCCACUUUGCCACAAAUCUUUAAUCGUUGGCCCUACCCAUUUUCUCCAUGAAGUUGUGCGCUAGAAAAGUCCCUUAAAAUGUGGAACAAUGUUUUGUAUAAUUAUGAGAAAAGAAUAUAAAAGAAAAAGGGAGAGCAAAUGAGAAAAGAAAAUAAAAGAAAAAGGGAGAGCAAGGGGACUUUUGGAGCUAUUACGGUUUGUUUGGUUGCUAUUUUUGAAAAUUAUUUUAAAAAAUAGUUUUUGAGAAUAGUUUUUAAAAACAGUUUUUAUAUUUUUAAGAAAAAAAUAUAUAUUUGAGAACUGAAUUCUGAAAAAUAGUUUUUAUUCUAAAAAAAAACACAUAUUUUAUUGAAUUAAUAAUUUUUUUUAGAAUAAGUAAAAAAAAAGCAUGUUUGAAAAUUAUUUUUUAAUUAAUAAAAUAUUUUCUUCUAUUAACUUGAUAAUAUAAAUAUAUAAAUAAUUUUUAUAUACACAAUUCAUUUAAAUUAAAAAAAAUUAUUUCAUUUUGAAAUUUUUACACUAGUUAUAAUUUUUUUAACCAAAUGAUGACUUUGUAACUAUGUGUAAGUAUAUUAAUUUUAAUAAUUAAAGGAAGAAGAAAAUGUUUAUAUGUAGGGAUGGGGGUGGGGGUGUGGUGGUUGGGUGAAACUCACCUUUGUGGAAACACAAAAAACAAGUAGGAAAACACAAAAAGAAGAAAUAAAAAACAUGAAAAACAAUAUAUUCUAUGAAUAGUGAAAAAACAAUGAAAAUAUUUUUUUAUUGUUAGAAAAAAAGUGGAUUUUGAGAAUACGAAAAACACAAAACAAAAACACAUCCCUUUCCCAAAACAAGUUUUUUGUUUUCAAGAACAAAAAAUAAUUCUUGAAAAUAGGAACCAGACCCUACAUUUUUGGCAUUCCUAGUAGAAAGGAUAAAGUGGAAGCUUUCAACGUUGUUUAGAAGGACGUGUUAAAGAUUUCAUGUAGGUUUCAACCCAGAGUAAUCCAUUUCAUUACUUACAAACUCAACUAGGGCAUCAAUAGACUCAAUUUGAGUAGUAAGUUCAAUCACUUCAUCAAAGGAAUGAAGCUUCAAGCAAGGAUGAUAAAUAUCUAAGGUAGUAGUUAAGUGUCAGAUGAUUUAUGUCGCUAUUAGUUUUAUCAAUGCUACAUGUGAAGCAGAGGUGAUCACAUCAAGGGGAUUCCCCACCCCUUAGUUGAAGAAGAUAAAUUGGUUUGCAAUGAGAUGAUUUGCUUAUUUAAAGAGAAAAAUAGUCAAGAAAUAUAACUUAAUUAGCUCAAGACAAUAAUGGAUGAUAUUAGUAGCCCUUUCUUCAAGGAGACAUUGGAAGUUAAAGAGCCUACCACCUAGGUGUAUGUUUCUAAAGUUUCAAAUGUACGAUAGUAUGUUUCUAAAGACAUUGGAAGUUUAUUAUUGCAACCAAUACAUAAAUAAAUAAAUAGCAAUCAAGCAACUGAACUAAAUAAAAAAGAACCAGUAUGCUCACUUAUAUAUAUAUAUAAAAGAACAAGUAUGCUCAAGAAGGAAAAUCCACCAACUCCCAUCAUAAGUUAAAACAAUAGAUCCAAGACUUCGGGUUGGCUUUUAAUAAGCUUAAUGCUAUAUACUCCUCAUUCCUUUAAGGAACUAAAUAAGCUAUUAAACUUUUAUUAGUUGUGUUGGGAAUCUGAGAUUAUUUUGUUAUUAAGCAUUGGAUUAUUAGGGUGUCUGCAAUCCUAUCUUAGGUUUCUCUAGUUCUAAGCACAACAAAAAACUUGGUAUUAAAAACCAAAAUAGAUACCAAAGAUCUAGAGAAUAGCCUCAUAACUAUAAUUUGGAUGUUCCCAGAUUAAUACUUGGUCAUUUAGAAAGCUCUAAAUUUGUAGAUGAUCUCGUAAAUAAAGAAGUCUUCUAUCCAAUAACUUCUCCUUAAGUCGAGGCAUAGAGAUGGUGGAAAUCUCUAGGUUAGAGACUAAAGUUCUUUCUCUUGACUGAAAAGAGAGAGUGGCAAGAUUGAAGCCCUAAUCCCUAAGAGGGGUAUUUAUAAGUUUCUUACUAAGCUCAAGUGACUCAAGCCCACCAUGGGCUUAGGUCACUUAGUCUAGCCUAAAAAGAUGUUAAUUGUUUAAUUAACCUAACAAGACUUCAAAAUUAAUUCAAUCUAGAGAUACCGUUCAUUUGCCUCUAUGCAACCUUCUAUAAUUAACAAAAUGCUCUUAUGCACAUAAAUGAACUAAAAACUCACCCAACCCUUAUAAACCGUAUCAUCAAGGACUAUGAGCUUGAAUGGGGAUUAUUGAGACCCAUAGGACAGUAUCGGCUCCCUCAAAAUUCAUUUAUGAAAUUAACUCAAUAUCUUACUACAAAUAAUCAACUACAUAUCAGUAUUCUACAUAUAUUAUAAUGAAACACCAAGUGUUCGAGUUCGUGACCUAUUAUCCAUUAUAUACAAUCUCCCCAUGAACUGGUAUUUGUAAUUUAAUAAGGUGAAAACUAUUAGUCUCUCAAGAUUACCUUUAUCAUCCUUGAGUUAUAGCUAGGUUCUCUAAUUAUGUGAUCAAAUGACAUACUCUAACUCACUAAGAGUAUAAGACAAAUUCCACAAAAUGAAUUACUACGAACCCAUAAAUUUCAUGAUCACACAUCCUUAAAAUCACCCAAUAGGACACAUUGUCUCAAAGUCUAUAACAUAUCAUGGUGUUUCUAUUAAGAAUACAUGUUGUUACUGGCUUUCAUCAUAAUCACCCAAUUCAUAUGGAAUAUUUGAUCACUUUAAGAUCUCACUAGUAGAUCAUUGCUAAGUUUGGCACAAAAUCAAUAUUUUCUCAAGGUUGAGAGAUAAGACAAUGUAGCAGCUUGGUGAAGUCAUGACUAUCCGAUAGUCUUAUAUCAUGACUUACCAUAGGUUCUACCCAAUGUGUAACCAUACACACUAGUACACUCACUAUGGGAACCCUAUCUUGAUGCUCAAGACUAGCUAUCCCUCCAAUUAGGAGGUGGUGUACUACAACCUUAAAUGGAUUGCCUAAAUCCACAAACCAGUUGUGAACAAAUCAUCUACAUGCAAAGAACCCAUGACUUGGAUCUUUCAUGCAACUCCUAAUGCACCCAAGUCAUAUACAAUGCAAGAGUUGUUAGGUUAUAAUGCUUAUGGAGUAUAAUCCAUGUAAUAAGGAUAGAUAAAAGUAAGACUAGAAUAUCAUUAAAUGAAUAAUUAAUUCCAAAUAUGUUACAUCAUGUUAAGGAGAAAGAUAGGGAUGAUAUUGUGCAUAGCAUCACAUUCCUAGACAUCCCAUAGGUGAAUAUAAGAUUUCAAAGCAUGUUAUUAGGAUGUACCUCCACAACGAGAAAUUGUAGCAAUUUUUAGCUAAGGAAAAAGAGAGGAUUCCUGAAGUUCAAAAGAUAGUGGAUAAUGUUGGGGAUGUCCCCACCCCCCCUCCCUCCAACCCCUCCAUCUAGAACAAAUCAAUUUUAGUUAUUCAUGAUGGCAAUAGAGGAUUUCAUUGUUAGCAAAUGACAUCUAUAAGAGGCUAGUCAAGUUAGAAUCCAUCAAUUUGGACUUUGCCAACUCUAUCAAGGAGAUUUAAUGUUAUGCUAUUAUGAGGAAGAUAAUGGUGUGCCACAACCUCACAAUGGUGCAUGGUGAUAACAUUAUUGAUUGAGAAUUGUUAAGUUAAAUGAAUAUUAGUUGAUUUUGGGAGUUCAAUUGAUGUAUUGUUUAUUUCCACCUUAAGUGGGUUAUGAAUUUUAGCUACAAAUGGAAGUACAUUGGUUGGAUUUGAUGAAGAUGUCAUGAGUGUUAAAUGAUAAGUCACCCUAUUAGUUAUUAUAGAGCCAAAUAUUGCUAUGUUAAAAUUAGUAAUGGUAGACGUUUCUUCACCUUAUAAUGACAUCCUUGGAAGAAAAUAGAUACAUCAAAUGUAGGCUAUGCCAUUCAUUUAUCAUUAAAAGUUGAUUUUCCUCUUUACAAUUGGAAUGAUAGAGACUUGGUAAUUAAAUUAGUGUAAGAAUGUUAUUGUAUACCUUUGAAGGGAGUUUCAAGAAGUUGGAAAAUUGACAUUAGUGAAUUAUUGUAACUACAACAUCUAUUGAGGAAGAAUGAAAAUGCUUUCUCGAUUGCAAAAGAGAAAGAAAUAAAUUGAGUGUAUUACCUACAAGGAAGGAAAGUUUGUAUAAGUUAAAGUCACACUCUUCAUAAAAGGAUUUCUUAUCAUUUUGUCUUUUAUCAGAGUGUUCAGAAUUUAACGAGGAUGUCAUAAAUUUGGAUGUCAAACUUCUUGAACAACUCCUUUAGAAUUCCAUUCUAUCCCAAAUCCUUGAUAAUUCUAUUAUUUGCAAUCAUUACCCAUUUUCUUGAUAAAAUUGAGUGCCAAAAAAGUAACAUAAAAAAGAGUCAUGUUUAUAUAAAUUUGAGAAAAGAAUACAAAAAAAAAAAAAAAAAAAAACAAUGAGGCAUUUGGAGCUCUUUCAUUGUUUGAGUUGUUUUAAUUUUUGAAAUUAUUUUAUUGAUUCAAAAUAUAAUGAAAUAAAUCAACACAACAAAAAAUGGUCACUUAAGACCUAAAAUUCUAGAACAAGAUCAAGAACUAUAAAUACCAAAAACUUUGAAUAAAAAUUUGGAUGAAAAUAGUUUAAGAGGUUUUAAAUUAAACAAAAAGGUAAAAAUUUCUUAAAAAAUAAAAAUAAAAAUACAAGUGAAUUAUUAACCCAAACAUUUAGAAUAUAGACCUCCAAAGCCCAAAACUAAUAUAUGUAUUCAAUAUCCAAGUAUUUGGAAUAAGAAUCACAAUUUGAACAUGAGUCAAUAAUAUGAUUUGAAAAUGACAUAAAAAUUCACACGUUCGAGUUGAGUAUAAUCAUGUUCAUGUCAUAAUUGUGUCAACCAACAUAAUAUAGUUAAUAAAUGGCUUCAAGUUCGAAUGACCAACUUGCAAAACCCAACCCACUCAUAAUUCCCAUAGCCUAGUUAAAUAAUUAUUUCGGGAUAACUUGUUUAUGAAACUUGACCCGUUUAACCUCUAUAAUUUUUAUUUACUAAUUUUAUACAUUUUAAAAAUAAUAUAAAAUUAUUACAAAUUAUAAAUCGAAUAUAAAAAUAUAUACCUCAGGCAUAAAUUUUAAAUAAUUAAAUUAAUGAAAAAUCUAUAGUGAGUCAUGACAUUAACUAUUAGGUGAUUAUGAUCUCACCAAACUACUACAUUAUAUAAUUUAUCAAUCUUGAGAGGAUACCAAACUUGUACUAAAAUUUGUGGUAACUUUGACUUACGGGUGAAAUCUUAAUUAAGGUAGUCAUAUAUAUUCCUAUGAAUUUGGUCAUUAUUAAUGGGGACAACUGAAAAUGGUAUUCUCAAUAGAGAUGCAGAUACCAUGAUAUCUCUUAAGAUUGGGAUGAUGUGUCAUCUUGGGUGGUCCUAAGGACAUGUGUUGGAAAAAUUUAUAGUCUUAGUAAUUUUUUAACUAAAACUUGACAUAUAUUUUUUGUGAGCUAAAGUAUGUUAAUUGAUUACAUAACAGAAGAAUCUGAGACUUAAAGAUUGUAGAAGUAAUCUUGAGAGGUUGAUAAGAUUUACUUUGUUAGAUUAUGAUCGACACCGAUUAAUUAGGAGUUUACAUAUAAUGAAGAUACUGGAGUGUAAAUAACUCGAUGUAGUAGGAUGUUGAAUCAACUUUAGAAUUAGAUUUUGAGGAAGCCAAUAUUUUUCUAUGGGUCCCAAUGAUCCUUACUUGAGCUUAGUUUCCAUGGUGACAUAGUUUAUGAGGACUAGUUAUGUUUUUUAUUCACUUGUAUGCAUAAGGACAUUUUGAUAAAUAUAUAAGGUUACAUAAAAGCUUGUAAAUAGCUCUUCAGACUGAGUUAAUUGAUUAAUUAGAGCCAAAUAGGGCUAAUAAAUCAGUUAGACCCAUGUGAGCUAGUUUAAGUAACCCAAGCUAAGAAUGAGACCAAAUUAUUUAAGCCCACUAGAAUCCUAUAUAAACCAUCUUAGGGGUUAGGGCUUCAACUCUAAACAAUCCAUUCUUCUUAUUCACUCUAGAAAGAAAAGAACCUUAACCACUAACCCCUUCAAAGGAUUCCACCCUUUGUGUGUCAGGAUUUGAAAAAAGCCAUUAGAUAGAAGACUAUUGAGUUUAAGAGAUCUACCGUAUAUUUGACACAUUUAAUAGGAUUUGAUUUAGGAACAUCCAAAUUUAAGGUAAAAACAUUCUCUUCUAGAUUGAAAAGUUUUUAUAUGCUUAUUUGCUUUCAUUACUAAGAUUUAGAAAGCCCCCGAUAGAUUUUCUUAUAUCCUAAUGAUCCAAGGAUGGGAAUGGAGUAAUUCAGAUAUCCCUACACUUCUUGUAAACUCUUGUUUGUUAACCAUGUUUUCAUAUUACAUGGUCAUUUUUUUUAAAUAUUAAAAAUAGGAUAAUUUGUAUUGUAGUUAUGUUUGUCAGUUAUAAACUAACUAAUUAAAUGGAUUCUACGACCCUUUUUAGGUUAAUUUUAUUUUUUUUUAUUUUUUUUAUUUUUGUUGGGAAACAAGUAAGAAAUAGGGUUGCAAUGUUGUGUGUAUUUCUCUGAUUUCAUUUUCUUAUUGUAAGUGGGAAACAAGGUAGCAAGCACAAAUGAUUAUUAUUGUUGCCACUUUAUCAUAUUCUUACUAACAAAGGGCAAAUUUGGAUACUUGAAAAAAAUAAAAAUAUUUUAUGCUCAUAAAAGAGUACAAUGAUAAAAAAAAGUUGAAUCAAUUCAAAUCCCAAAAUCAUGUCAUUGUUUUAUAAAUAUCUUCCAAAAUGUGAGAUUCUUUGGGAAUAUAUUUUUCUUGAUUAAGAUUUUUACUGAACAUAUAUGUGAAACCAAGGUUUGGUUAAUAUUGAUUUUGAUGAUAACAAAACAAGGUUUAGAACUAAUGAUUAUAUUUUAAGUGUGAUUAGGCUAGACGAUUUUCAAAGUGGCAAUCACAAAGACAAAUCAAGUUAAGGAGAAAUCAUGAAGAAGAAGACCACCUCAAAGAGAAGUGUUUUUCAAGACCCAAGUUUCAUAAGAUCUCUUUGUAAGGUUGUUGGUGCACUAGGAUUUUCAUGCAUUACAUUUUUUACUUAUGCACCAAAAUCAUCCAAGAGUUAUUUUGUUUUAAAUAUUUUAAGAAUUGGAUGAUUUCAUGUUUUUCAACUAAAACCUUGUGUUAAAUGUUUUUCAAACUUGUUUUAAAAAGGUUUUAAGUUGAAAAAGUUAGUUGUUGAGCCAAAAAACGGCUCAACCGGUUGAACAGGAUGAGGAACCGGUCGACCGCAAGCUCAACCGGUCGAGGUCUGGGUCGACCCCCAGCUCAAUCGAUCGAGGCUCGGGUAGACUCCCAGCUCAACCGGUUGAGGGUGCAAAAAACUUUCUCUUUCUUCCAGAAUAGUUGUUCAACCGGUCAAGGUUGAACCUCAACCAGUUGAGGUCCGAUCGAGGUCCGGUUGAGGCCCAACGGUCACCUGUCAAACAUUAAAUGCUAACAGCUAGUCAACCGAUCAACCCCUAACUUGACCAGUCGAACCCCCAAACGACUAGUUUGACUUUUCUCUUCUAUAAAAAGGCUCCAAUCUUCAUUGUUUAGUGAGCUUAACCUUCUCAAACUUUUCUUGAAUAUAUUUGAGCCUUGGAAGAGUGUUUUUGAGUGCACCAUUAUUCUAAAACUUGCAUAUCCUUAGUGCACCUUUCAAUCCUAGUUUUCUUGUAUAAUUUGAGCUUAAAGUUCUUGUGUUAGGAUUUUUAUGAGAUCAUUUAUUUGUAAACCUUUGAGAAGAAGUUUCUCAAGAGUGUGGUAUUUCUUGAAAAGUGUAAAGGGUGCUUGGAAUCAAAAGUUUAGGAGGGUGAAUUGGAACCACAAUUCAAUUGUAUUACUUGAAGGCUUGGUUUGGAAGCCUUGAAUUAGUGGAGCCUCAAGUUCGGGAUUGAAGCUAGAGGAGAGUGGAUCUAGGCCGGGUUGCGCCAAACCACUAUAAACUCUUGUGCUUACAUUCUCUCUUCCAUACUCUUUAAUUUAUAUGCAAUUGUCUUUAUAUUACUCAUUAUAUACUUGCAUAUAAUUGUCUCUUACAUUCAUAUAGUUUAAAUUUGCAAAAAGAGACCAUCACCUUAUUCACCCCCCCUUUAAGGUGAUUACCAUAGGUUGGAUUAACAUAAUUUUUCUAACAAUAUAUAUAAUAUAAAAAUCCUCAAAAUAUUUAUUGUUGCUUAGAAUAUUUUAAUAAAAAAAAUACUAGAAUUUUUUUAACGGGUUACUUGAUUAAAAGAGUCUGAGAAAACCCAAUUUUAGAAAUUUAACCCUUUGUCCAUUUUUUGUCUAAUUUUGACAAAAAUACUCUUAUUAUUUUCUUAUAAAAAUAACAUAUGUAAAUAUUUGAAAUGAUGAAGGACAUUUAUGUAAAAAAUGAGUUAUUUUUUAAGUAAAAAAUAUGAAAAAGGUUAAAUUCAUAAUUUGGGAAUUAUCUCAUCUUUUUAACCAAAUAUUUCUUUUUUUAAUAGGUUGGUUGAGUUAGAAAAUUGUAUUAAGUUUUGAAUGGACAAAAAAUCUAUUUUAGAGAACAGUCUACAAAUGGGUACAAUUAUGCGGAGAAUUAAAUCAUUUUCUACCAUCAAUUUUGACGCAAUCAACAGGCCCAACCCAAAUUGUUUUCAGUGGGCCAGGUUGACAAAGCCCAGACCCAGUAAGGUUUAGCAAGCUGUAGUUCUGAGUUAGGGUUUAUCUCUCUUGUUUCUCUAAACUCGGUUUCAGAAUCAUUCCCACAUCAGACCAGGGGAUUCUCUCUUUCCAAAUCUCUCAUCGCCAUGACGAAGUUCAGAAAGCUUGGUCGGCCCACUGGCCAUAGAAUGUCCAUGCUCAGGUUUCAAUUCAAUUAUAAGUUUUCCAAAUCUUGGGUCUUACCAGCCGUACGGACUGAAUGUAGUGUUUUUAAAAUUUUCUUCCUUAUUUUAUGCCUUCAGAACAAUGGUGUCGCAGUUGGUGAAGCACGAGCGCAUUGAAACCACCGUUGCCAAGGUAAAACUGCUUCCUCUUUCAAUGUUUUUUGUUUACAUCUUUGUUUGUUUGCCGUGAAAAUGUCGAGCGAUGGAAGACGAGCUUGAUGUUGAAUGCAUUUUGGUGAUCAAGUCACAGAAACAAACCUUCCCCAUCUCUCUUCUCUCUGUAGCUUCUCACUUCGCCUGAUAGAUAGUGGGUAUUUGUGUUUGUUUAUCCGGGGAAAAUUUCCCAAAGUUAUCUGUCACUUUCCCAGAAAAUUAACAGUACCCGCGGAUUUUUACUUCGGGGGUGCGUCUCCGGACCAGUGUGGUGUCAUGCUUCCGUCAGGACUGGUCUGUAUGUAAUUUCAAAUAUGCUAUUUUUUGGAUUGAUAUUGCUGUGCUGUGUGCUGUUGAUAACUCAGAUAUGUUAUUUGUGAUAUCUGAAAGUAUGGGCAUGAUGGGGGUUUGAGACCUGUGUUUUGUUUUGUGUUUUUUGUUUGGUUGAAUGUACUGGAUUUGAAAUUAUAGAGAAGGGCGAGGGGCUUUCUUGGUUUGGGGGUUUUUUUGUGAGUGGGGAUUUAACCUGGGUUUGGAGAUUUGAGGCAUUUUCUUUUUGUGGAUAUUGAUUUUUUGGGGAUUAGAACUGAAACUAAGGUGGGGUUUGGGAACUGAAAACUGAAAUAUGCAUGCAAGGAGUGGUUUGGAUCAGGAUAUGGUGAUAGUUGCAGCUGUUUUGAGAACUUGAGCAUUUGAUUGCUCGAUGACCAACACCACUGUGUGUGAGAAUUUGCUAAUGACUGUGAGUCAUGGUUUAAAGUCACAGCAUCACUCAUUGACUUGGGAGGUUGUGAGGCACAUCAACCUUGACAUCUCACUGAGGCACAUCAAACUUGACAUCUUGGAUUGGUAUUAGAUGAUAGACAAAAUAUACUGGUUUGAAAGCUUAAAACUUCUAAAAGAGUUUUAAAAGAACUCAUAAAUAAAAUUAUAUCACAUGUAACAUUAUUUGAAUACUCAUAAAAGAAUGCAUUCAGAUUAAUUUAUAAUAAUAAUUUAUACAUAAUUGAAAAUAAAAUAGAGAUAAAUAUAUUAAAAGUAUUUUCAAAACAUUAUUAUUUAAUUUUACUAUAUGUAGUUAGAUAAUUUAAUUUAUUAAUUUAAAUAAAAUUGUCAUUAAUUAUUUAUACCCAUAUCCAUAUAUGAAGUUGCAACUUUGAACUUGGAAAUUACUUGUUCUGUGGUACUUUUUUAUUUUCCAAUGAUAUCCUUUCGUAGGCAUUAAUUUAUCAAUAAAAUUUUUUCUUAUAAUGUGUAAUACAUUUGUUUCAUAUUUCGUUGAGACAUUGUGCUACAAAAUGUACAAAUUUUAGCCGAGAAAAAUGAUAUAGUUAUUGUUUAAAACAUAUGGUAUAGAUUAGUUUUUUAUGAGUUAGCAUAAUAUAUAUAGGGUUACUAAUGUUGAGGACCUAGCUUGGGUUCUAGGUUGUAAUGUAUGGGUACCCUCCCCACUAGUUAUCUUGUCUAUCAUUUGGGAGCCCCUUUUAGAUGAUGAUGAGUGUGGGAUGUGGUGGAGCAAAAAUUUCAGAAAUAGCUUGCUAUGUGGAAGCAAUAGUACCUAUCAAAAAAGGAGGACUAACUCUAAUAAAAAGUACUUCUUCUAACCUGCCAAUUAGUUCAUGUUAUUAUUUGUCAUCUCGAGAAAGGUAAGCUUAAGGCUGGAAAAAAAUCCAAAGAGAUUUCCUUUUGUGGAGAGUUGCUUUGGUGAUACUAUGUCUUUGAACCAUGCUCCUUGCCAAGUCUGCUGGAAUUCAGACCAUUGUUUUAAUCCCAAGUGCUUGUGGGGUUGUAGAUCUGGGUUCAGUGAGGUCAUCACCUAAGAGCUUAGAGAUGUUGCAAACCAUAUGAUGUUCAUUCUUGAUGUUUUCACCAUUUAUCAGGGUCAAGCCAACCUUACCAGUGUUGAAUGAGAAGAAAAAUCCAAGUGCCCCUUCUCCAUUUUGGGGAUUGGGAAGCGAGGAGAAGGAUUUCUGAAGAUUUCUAGGUAGGAUUUGAACUCAGUUUAAAAGAAGCUUGCUGUUAGAAAGGCAGAAGAGAGGCUGUGGUAAGGCUUCCAAAGUGGGAAUAGACUUCCUUUCAAAAACACUCGAAAUGGUCUGCAUGGUUCAAGUUGGUGGUCACAUAUGCAAGGUGUGAAACCAGUGAGCACUGCAGAAAUGGACAGGGCUCAGGGCCUCAUCAUAAUCUACAUGAGAUUGUUAAUGGGGUUAUAGAGGAGUUUCAGCUUAACCAAUUCCUGUCUCUGAAGCAGGUGCAAAUUCAAAAUAAUUCUGCAGGGCCUGCUUCAAGGUCUUCUAUGUUGGUCCAGCCAAUGACUGUUGUAUUUCUCAAAAAUUAAAAAAAAAAAAAGAGGGAAAUCUCACUAUUUCAAAAUUUGACAAAUUUCAAAUCGGGAAAGCUUUAGAAUAGGCAACAUGUUUACUUUCUUCUUUCAUAGGUGCCCGUGUGUAUAUGUAAUUAAAAAAAUUCACAAUAAUAGUAAUUUGCAUUAUUUUAAAUUUCAAUAAGUUUAAAAUUUGGAAAUUUGUAUGAUGGAAACAUGUUUGUUUCUUUGAUUUUGCAAUUUCAGGCUAAAGAGAUCCGGCGGCUUGCUGAUAACAUGGUACAACUUGGAAAAGAGGUAUGGUUAGCACAUUUUUUUGGGGGGUUUUUCUUGUGUUUUUCUGGAUAUUAUUUCUGAGUGGGUUGAGCCUUGAACAUUUUUUUUGGAUAGCCAAAUUGAAGAUUAUAGAUUAAUAGAUGCCUUGAAAAAGGUCAAAGUCCCAAUUUCUUGGAGACUAAAAAUUUAUUAGAAUUUAAACUUAAUUUUUUUAUUAGACAAGUUUUUUGUAUUUCACUAACCAUUUUUAAGGUUGAGCCUAGAAACAUUUCAAUCCCUAAUUUCUUUUGGGAUGGCUAUAUAAUUAAAGGUAAAACUACUAUUCCUUCUGGUUAGAAAGGAUUACUAGAGUUUUUAAGAACAGAUUGGAAAUGCCAAAUAAUGUGAGUACAGAACCCCUUCUUCCUUUUUUGUUUUUUAAACCGGAGAAUAAGAAGGUUUAUUUUUCAGUGGAUUCCUUUUGUGGGGUUUCUAUGCUUAAUUUUGAUGGUGGUUCUCUUUGUGCUCCAGCCAGAAGGGCAUUGGAGGUGUUAUAGGGGUCACAACAUUAUCAUUGUUUGAGAUUACUCUUAAGUCUAAGGAUUUGUACUGGCUGUAAAAGCAGAGAUUUUAUUCUUUUUAAAGGGUUUGAAAUGGCUUCUUCUGUUGGGAUCCCUAAGCUUAUUCUCAAUGGAGAUUUUCUAUUGUCUAAUCUUGGUUCUUAAUCAAUCAGAGAGCCUUUUGGCAGUUUAUUUCCUUGAUCGGGCAGGAUUAAGGAUGGUGUGAGGGAUGUGGUGGUUUCCUGUUAAUAGGAAGCCCAAAUCCACUUAGCCAAGAGGGGAGCUCUGUCCAAUAAUUCUUUCUUUUUGUUUUAUUUUUCUCCUUUUCUCUUUCUUUCCUUUCUUUUCUUUUUCUUUUCAUGCCCCUUUUGGGGUUUUGAGGUAGUGAGUGCCUAGUGCUUGGUUUUUUUCUAUUUCUUUUUCUUCUUGGGGACAGCUUUGUUUAUAAAGAAAAUUAUUUUUAUUCCAUCUUGAAAUUAUUACAGGGUUCUCUUUGUGCUGCAAGGCGUGCAGCAGCCUUUGUGCGAGGGGAUGAUGUGAUUCACAAGCUAUUCACUGAACUGGCUUAUAGAUACAAGUGAAUCUUAAACCUGUUGCAUUUUCAGUUUUCUUUUGUAUGGUUGUAAUAUUGGAUGGGCAUUCUCUGUUUCAGAGAUAGAGCUGGUGGAUAUACAAGAUUACUUCGAACUCGCAUACGAGUUGGUGAUGCUGCACCAAUGGCCUAUAUUGAGUAAGAUUGUAUUUGACUUGUUAUUGCGAUUGUUUUUUAGGAGUCAAGCAUCUGUCUGACACUAGUGUCUUUCGAAUGAUUUUAGAAGAUGUUACAAUAUUUCUUUUCUAAAUAAUGAUUAUAACUAUUAAUGUAAUGACUAAUGAGGAUAUAAUAUUCAUCAAAAUGGUUGUGUUACAAACAUAUUCAUUAAGAAAUUAUGAAAUUUUAUAUAAUACGUAUUUGAAAGUAUGUCAUCUAUGCAAAAUAUUCAUUGUAAAUUAUUUUUUGAAAAAACUUGGACAAACACUGUUAUUAAUGUGCUUUUUCAAGGCUUGACAUUAAUAACUACGACAAUAAUAGUAACAAUAAUAAAAGAAGUGAGGAAUUCUGUCCUCUGAAGUUAUUCGCUUAUCUGAUAUUUCCAUUGAUGUACCCUGUUUGGCCUUUGUUGAUGUCCGUCCUUGUUUUAAUUAUAUGUUUACUCAUGUGAACAGGUUUAUAGAUAGAGAGAAUGAGCUUAGACAGUCAAAACCUGCAACACCUCAGCCACCACAGAGAGUGCCCUUGGAUCCCUGGACAAGAUCCCGUCUCUGCAAGCAGUUUGCUCCCCCUAAGGAGGAUAAGAGCUCUGAUCCUGAGAUUUGAAAUGAGUUGAUGGCUUGUAAUAAGAUUUUGUUCCAUUCUUUCCUUCGCACAUGGCUGAAACCUGUGCUUCAAUUAAGUUUAUGGGGAUUGCCAUUCAUGGCAAUGUAUCAAUCUCUGUUCCCUGACCAGCCAUUGUGAGAACAUAAAUGGGGAUUAGUGCAGUGCGGAUCGGUAGCAUGUUUGGAUUUGGAUUGAUAGGGCUAAAAAAUAUGGAGGUGAACCCUGUGGCUUUCUUGGAAGACAUUAGCAUGUUCUUGAGUGGUCAUUAAUAAGUUGUGACUGGUUUAUCUGAUUAAGCUUGUUAUACAUCCAGAAUAAUUUGCUCAGAAUUGAUCCAGUUGGAUUCUUUUCAAAGUUUGAGAUUGGGUUGUGGUCCAAGUGUUGGGGUUUUGGUUGUGGGUAGCAAACUAAUCUACAGGAAUGAGAAGAUGCAGUGCUGAUUUUGCGGGUUGUUGAUGCCAAACCCACCCCAUCCAGUGGCUGGUGAAAGGGAGGCCCCCCUUGAAUGCAAAGCAUGUCCAGGAUUGAGGAAGGAGCUGAGGUAGCUGCAUGUCAAACAUGAAAUUUGGUGAGCUGGUGAGCGUUACAAAUACAUUGUUAACCUUUUGAUAAAUAGAAGCUUAGCUUGCAAGUUGAGACUCAUUCCCCACGGUUUGUAACCAGCCAUAAUCUUUGGGCUGUGUUUGGCUCUAGAAAAUUUGAGGGAAAGAAAAUAGAAGGAAAGUUUUUUAAAAUCAAUAAAUUAUUAUUUUUAUGUUAUUUUAAAUUCAUUUCACUUAUUUUUCCUUUCUAAUGUAAGAAUUAAAUAAUCUUAAAAUACAUAAAUUUUUAAUUAAUUACAAUUGUAUUGGAAUUUUUUUCAUUAUUUUCUAUGGUAAAAUGAAACUUGAGAAAAUAACUUGUUUUUGGUAUAUAUUUUUUCUGGGUAUUCUUUGAAAAUCAAAUAUAGCUUUGGAGUGUGGAAGUAGGAUCCAAACAUGCCGCUGAUCAAAUAUGAAAUAACCAUAAUAUCCAUUUGGUUGGGUCCCAAGUUUUCUAUAAUGUUGUAUGUAUCCCUCACUUGCCUUCUUUUUGGGGGUUUCUAAAAAAACUGCAGGAGUAUUAUUUUACGAUAUCAAGUGGUCCAAAGGACCAGAACCUCCUUAAAAAAAAUGAUACCCAGGAUAGACUGAAGUACAGGAAAGGCCAGUGAGACAUGAUUUGUUGGUAUCACAAAGACCUGAAUCAUGAGUCAUGAGUCAUGACCAGAGAAAAGCGUUUGAAGCUUCGGCUUUUGGUUGCUUUGCUUUCAAUACAAAGUACAGGAUACAUGUAAGUCAGGCGUGUCCACAUCAUAUGGUAUGGUCUGGUCAGCCUUGUCUGGAAAGACAAGAUACAGCCAAUAGCAGAAUACUUUCUGGAAGUUCUAUGCAUGGAUUAAUGGAGAAGAGAUGGGAGAUGGAGUAACAGUGAGAUACGUAGCGACUGGUGCAAGGCUUCAAUCAUAUAACGAAGUCCCACCUUCUCUCUGUCUUCUUCUCUUCCCCACAUUGCUUCAUUUUCUUAUACUUGAAAAAUCGUUUCUUAACCUCUCACAAGUCUAAUCCAUUAUCAUCAAUCACCCAUGAUUACUAUUUCCUUUAACCACCUCUCCUUCUCUGAUUUACUUCAAUCCAAAGCCAACAAUACCCUCCUUCAGCCGUCUGGCAGGCUCCCAACUUUAUUUGGGAUUUUAAUUAUUUGCUUCACUCUCACAAUUACCUGUUAAGAAGUUUUUAAAUGAUGAUUGAAGUGAUAUUAUCAAAAAGCUCCAUCCUUGCUUCACUAUCAACUCACUUGUAAUUAUACCUAGCUUUCUGUUGUUCCUAUUUUGCAUAAUAAACGUGUGAUUUCCAUGAGAAAGUGUUCCUUAAUUAUUUCCCAUGGAUUUUUUUUUAAAGAUAUAAAAUAAAAACUUGGAAUUGAUAUUUUUUUUUUUUUUUUAAAAAAAAAUGUUUUAGAACAAGUUAAAAAGACUUUUCUUUGUUUUAUUACAAAAAACGUCAUAAUGUUAUUUUUUUUUUUAAUAUCCUAAAAAAAUCAUUUUUUUUUUCUUUACAUGAACCAAAAAUAAUUUUGAAAACCUAAGAUUUGGCAACCCUUUUCAAAAACGGUUUUCUGCUCUUCAAAAUAAAAAAAUUAGGUAAAUAUGUUUAACAAUUAAUAACCAUUUUUUGUUUUCUAUUUUUUAAGAACAACACAUAAAGUGUUUUAUGGUAACAUUUUUUAAAUUGUUUUUUUAAAAAAUAAUUAUAUAAACAUGUAAAAUGAUUAAAAAUAAAACAUUAGAAAUAAAUAAGUAUUUUUAAAAUAUAUUUAAAAUAUUUAAAAUAAAUUAAAAAUAUUUUAUGUUUCUAAAGAAAUUUUUGUUUUACAAAAUAUAAUGCAAUAGUUUUCAAGAAUUAUUUUUUAAAACUAUUUUUAAAACUAUUUUCAGAAAUAUUUACCAAACAAACCUUAAUAUUUUCAUUUAUUUUAUCAAAUAAGCCUUAAACCUUUUUUCUUCAAUUUCGAAUGCGAGUAGAUUUUAAAAAUGUCGUUUUUUGCACUGAAAUAAAAAUCCAUACUUUAAAAUUCGAAAUAUGGGAAAAAUUAUUAUUAUUAUUUUUUAAAAAUAAAAUAUAUAUUUCAUUUGAUUUUAUUGUUCAUAUUGCCUAUUGUGUUAGGUGAAAUAGUCCUUGAAAAGACCCUUAAACCUAUACAACACCCUAAUUAAUAUUACUUAAAUAUUAAGAUAAAAAAUAAAAUUAAUGAAAAAAUAAAAAAUGAAAAUAGAAACUUGGCAUUUAGUGGUUAUCUACGUGGGUCAACCAGUGACACCUUAUCCGUCCAUUCGUUCAAGAUGGACAGACCUCUAUUCUCAUUACCAAUAAAAUAAUGAAAAAAAGGAAAGGGUACCUACUUCUUAGGCCCAAGGCAAGCUAGUGAACUACCAAAUCUACCAUUAUGUUUAGGGCAAAAACAACCCUUAAAUAGGGGCAACAUUGUCCCUAAGAAAAUAAAUAAAUUAAUAAGUGUCUUUAUAAAUUUGACUUACAAAAUGGUACCCACUUUGGAGGGGGCCUAAGAAAAUAAUGAUUGGUCAGUGUUGUUUACUUGGUAAGUGAGAUGGGACAUUUGAUCAUCAACUAGUUCAACCCAUCUUUCUUUUUCCUCAACCAAAUCUAGUAAUCUUUACACAAUCAUAGCAAUCAUCUUUUUCUAUUUUUUCAAAGGAAAAAAUGCACACAAAACUUGAAAUUAUGGUCAUCCUUUUAAUUUAAAAUUUGAUUACAAGUCAUUGUGACGUAUUGUUUUUAAGAAUUAAUUCGUAUUUGUGAAUUUAACCAUUUUUUAUAUUUGAAGAGUAACAUUUUUAAUAUAAAUACCUUUAACUAUUUUAAGUAUUUAUAUAUAUAUGUUUAAAAAAAAGUUACUUUUAUAAAAUAAAAAAAAUAUUUUUGUCAAAAUAAGAUUUUAAAAAAAAGAUGAACAGGAUAAAUUUUCAAAAUCGGGUUUUUAUUGACCCUUUUAAUUAAAUAACCAUUUUUUAAUGUUUUUUUUUAUAUAAAUAUCAGUAAUUUACCCAAAAAAAAAAAAAAAAACAGACACUAUCAAUAGAAUUUUUUUUCUUUAGAGAAUGUCAUGAAAUAAUUUUUAGAAUAAUAUUUAAUAGAUUUUUUUUCAAAUAUUAUUAUUUUUCUAUAUAACACACUAUCAAUAAUAUUAUUAAAAGAAAAUAUUUUUUUUUGUAUUUAAUUUGAUUUUUAUAAGAGCCUUAUAGAAUGAAAACUCUUCUUAAUCUUCAAUGACCUUAAUUAUCUUAAUCUUAGAUCGUAUUAGAAAUUUAGGGUAUGUAGGAUAACUGUUUUUUAAAACAAUUAUGAAAAACAAUUUUUGAGAAUAGUUUUUCAAAACUAUUAUGUGAUAUUUUUGUAAAACAAAAGUCUAUUUAGAAACUUAAAACAUUUUUAAUCUAUUUUUAAAUAUGUUUUAAAAAUAUUUUUUUUCUAUCUAAUAUUUUAUUUUUAAUCAUUUUACAUGUUUGUAUAAAUAUUUUUUAAAAUGGUCAUUACAAAAUAAGUAAAAACAGUAUAAAACAACUAAAAUAUAUUAUUUAAAAACAAUUUUUGAUUGUCAAACUUGUUUUCUUGAUUUUUUGUUUUAGGAAAAUUGCUUUUAAAAACAGUUAUCAAACAAGUUAUUAGAUUUUCUUAAUUAUCAUUUAUGACACUUUUAUAAAAAGAUUAAAUCAUUAACAAAAAUUUAAUGUAUGGUUUGUAUAUAUUUUUAUUUUAAAUUUUAAAAUAAAAAAUAAUUAUUUAUAUUUAUUUAAAAAAAUAAGUUUAUCUCAUAUUAUUAAAUUUUGAUUUAUAGCAUAUUUUGAUUUGAGAUAAUAAUUUUUAAACCCAUAAAAAAUUACCAUAAUUUCAAGUUAGACUUACGAUAGCAAAUGCAUUUCUUCCUUUUAAAAUGAAAAACAAAAUGUUAUUUUUUUUUUUAAAAAAAGUAAAAAAUAAAAUUGAUCUCCGAAGAUAUAUUACAAUUCUAUGUUAUAUAUUCUUUUGAAUGAUGUAAGGUGGUGUUUGUUUUUUUAAUUUUUUGUUGAAAAUAAGUUGCUUUCUGAUUUUAGAUUAUUUAUUUAUUUUAUUUUUUAUUGAUUUAUUACUUAUUUUGGAAAACAAAUUCAUAAAUAAAAAAUAUUUAAUUUUUUCUAAAUAUUAAAAGGAAAACAUUGAUUUUUCUUUACUUAUUAAUACUUAAUAAAAAUAAAAUAUUAAAAAAAAAUUAAUUCUUAAUACGAUUAAAUACUAUUUAAUUUUAACCGCUAAAUGUUCAAAGAAUAUAUAUAUAAUUUUUUUUUUCCAUGAAGAUUUCUAUACUCCAAGCCACACAAGCACAAGUAAAGAAACCCCACAAUUUUAUUUUAUUUUAAAAAGAGAAUUCCAAAUGUAGAAUUUAGAUACGAAUAAAUAAUGAAAAAUGGAAAGGUAAAUUUAAAAGGACGUUAGCUCUAUCUCUCUCUAUAUUGAGGCUCCUUCCUCCUUUGAGUGUGCCUCCUUCACACCACCACCACCACCUUUGUGCGGAGCUCAAGACAGAUCACUGGUCUGCUGUCUCUUUCUCACCUUCUUUCUCAACACCUCUCCUCUCUUUUUCUUCUUUCUUCCAUUUGGUUUCUGUCUGCAACAUCUCUUCUUUCUUCCACGUUGUGUUUCUCUCUCCCUCUGCAUUAAUGGUGUUUUGGUAGGUUUUCAUUUCUGAUAUCUGUUUUUUUUUCCCCUUUCAAUACAAUUUGGUUUCUGGGUUCUUAACAUUUCUGCUUGAGUUUCAUAGUUUCGUUCUUUGAGAUGACUUAAAUACUAUUCAUUCUCCUGUUUUAUCAAUUUAUUUCCCUAUGUUUAAAUCUUCCUCUGUUUCUUCUUUAGCUCUUUCCUUAUGGGUUGUUGUUUUUUUUGUCCUUUCUUCUUUCAUUUAAUGUACCAUGGACUCCAUAAUAAAGACAGUCUGUUUUAUUCCAAUUUCUUGGACCUGUCCAAUUCAUGAUUUCUGUUUGUAUAUUGUGGUGGAUCAGAUGUUGCUUUUCUGCUGCUUCUAAGAGGUAGAGAUGAGAGGAGCAAUGGGUUCAACGCAGAGCCCAAUUGAGGCUAGACAACGGCUAUCUGUAUCUAUGUAAGUUUCUCACCGUCUACCAAUGGGCUUGAAUCCAUUAUAAUCAGAAAUAUGGUUUCUUCUUUCAGUUACUAUCCAUAACUUCACCCUUCAAUUAAAACCAAGAUAACAUUUGGAAGUAGAUCUUCAAAAUUUGCCUCCAGGAAUCCUCUAUUUCUGUCAAGUUUAGAUUGCAUUAUCAUGCAGCAGUUUCUUUAUGGGUUUGGGAUGGGUAAAUUUCACUCACAUUCCUUGGGUUUUGAGAUCACGUGAGUUUGAAAUUUCAUAAAAUGCCUCUCUUAUUUUAAAUCAAAUAGGAGAUAAAUGAAAAUAAAAAGAAAGAUAUUUGAUAAAAUUUUAACCAAACGAUCACUAAGAGUCCAUUUGAUAGUGAUUUUAGGAGGCGUUUUUAACAUUUGAAAAAUUUUAUUAUUCAAGUGUUAAAAAUAUUAAAAACGUUUUUUAAAAUCAUUAUCAAACACACCCUAAAUGUAUUUAGUCCAAAUACUUCACCAGAAGUGAAUGAAGUUGGGAUUAGUCAUAUUUUUUUUUUAUUAUUUAAAAUAUAAAAUUGUUGUUCUAUUUUUGUUGUCCUUUGAGUGAUUUGUCAUUGAUUUGAUUAUUAGAUAUUACAUCAUGAUGUCAACUUGCUUUGGGUUGUUGUGAUUCCAACGUUUGGACCUUAAGCUUAUGGUUCCAAAGUGAUGUUUUUGUCGUCUACUUCUAUUGCUUCAAAAGUAGGCAUCUUCAAAUCUCUAAUUUUCUUCCUUUUGUGGUUGUAUUAUCCAUUAAUCUUCUCCUUAAAGCACAGAUCAAAGCUCUGAACAAAGAUGAUCCACUCAUGGUAGAAACAAAAAUAUUUUCUUAUGUUGAAUUGAAGAAGUGGCAUGAGAGAUUGCUUCUUGUUUGCAAAGAUGUGAUAAAUGGAGCCUAAACUUGUUCUCUUUGCCUUGGUCAAUUACCAUAUUUUAGGGGACCUGGAAAAGACAUCUUAGAAGAUGAGAUGCUUUCUUUCGAAUUUAGUCAUGUUUUUGGUGUUUAUAACAGGUGGUUUGUUGGCUAAGAGCUGUCUCUCUUAGUAGAUUUCAGUCAAGUCUCACCCAAAUUUAUUGUUGAGAUUCAUCAUCCUGUUCCUGGAUCUUUUCUUGAAAGCUACAUGUAGAGUAUCAAGGAAGUAAUGAUCAGCUAAAGAAGAUUUGUAACUGUCAACUGUAGCCUCAAAAAUGUUUCAAUGAAGACAAUAAGCAUAUGGCAUUUGAAAAUGGUGCCUUCAUUCCAUCCAUAUGAAAAAAGAAUUCAGGCAUGGCCUUUUGUUAACCUCAUGCAUAUAUUAACAAGGCCACUGAAAUGAAUGGUUCUUCUACUAGUUGCACAUUUUUAUCGAUCUUCUACUGAUCUCCUGCAUGAUUGAGAAACGUGACAUUACUUAGAAUAUAAGUUCCAAAUCAAAAUAUGCAGCAAUAUUUGUGAAUGGGCUUGUUCUCCUAAUCCAGAUGUUGACAUUUAUACCUGUUCCUACACUUCUAUGUGCAUAAACACAGUUCCCAGUUAGAAUUAGACACGGAAAUUAAAACUAGGAAUUGUUUGCUAUUUCGUAGGCAUUUUUCUGUUACGCCAGCAAUUUUCGCCGCUAACAGUUGGCUUGGUGAUCUUCUUACCCUUUGCUUGUCUUGUGUCUCCAUUAAUGUCUACUAAUUUUUUCUUGAACACCUACUUGAAUCAGUGAAGAUACAUACAAAAGAAGGUCACAGAGGAGUAAAGUUAAAGAUGAGAAGCCCUUUCACAUCCCCAUACAAGACAGGAGCACAAAAUGCAAGUUUCCUGCAUUGAAGCUGGUACUAGUUAUAAUUGUAUGUGGCACUUUUAUUACACUCUUCUACUCUCCAGCUGUUUGUAAUGACCAUAUAUCACACGCUAACUCCCGGUAGGUGUUUAUUCCCCUUCUGCUCGUGCUUUGUUUUUGAAUAAUUUUAUGGGAAUUUGUUAUUUUGUUGCUUUGGUUUACCUUUUAAAUGGGAAAAUUGUUCUUUUGCAUGCCAAACCAGUAUUGUUUAAUGGAAUGCAGGCCAAGUUUUGUUAACAGGUGGAUAUGGGGUGGUUCAGAUCCACGGUAUAUAUCGGAUUUAGAUGUUAAUUGGGAUGAUAUCUCAAAAGUCAUUGAUCAGCUUGUUGACAUGAAUCAAUAUCAGGGAAUUGGUCUUCUAAACUUCAAUAAGACUGAAGUCAAUAAUUGGAAGCAGCUUAUUCCCCAAACAAGUCACAUUGUUCUGCACCUGGACUACGCUGAAAAAAAUGUGACCUGGGAUACCUUAUAUCCGGAGUGGAUUGAUGAGGAAGAAGAAGAUGAAGUCCCCAUUUGCCCAUUGCUGCCAAAGCUUGAAGCCCCGAAAAAACGGCUUGAUCUUAUUGCUGUGAAGCUCCCCUGCCGGAAUGAAGGAAACUGGUCCAGAGACAUUGCUCGGUUGCACUUGCAGCUGGCGGCAGCACAGCUUGCAGCCUCUGUCAAAGGCAAUUACCCUGUGCAUUUGCUGUUUAUUACCAGCUGUUUUCCAAUACCAAACUUGUUUACUUGCAAGGAACUUGCUGCCCGUGAAGGGAAUACAUGGUUGUACAAACCAAAUUUGAAUGUACUGAGGGAAAAGGUCCAACUCCCAGUUGGGUCAUGCGAACUUGCAGUUCCACUCAAGGUCAAAGGUCAGUUAUAAUCCCAUAACUUCAAUCCCUUUGAGCAUUAUAAGCUUGAAAAUUUUCUUCCAAUGUAUGCAAAUGGAGUUGAUAGAUACUCAUCUAUAGAGUUCUGGUUUCUCCUUCAUGCUCCUUAAAAUUAUAACUCAACUUCAUUUUUUGCUCUAUAAAAGUUACUAAUACUAAUGUCUAUGAUCUCUUGAAUCAGAGCGGGUUUACUCUGGAGAUGUUCGUAGAGAAGCAUAUGCAACAAUCCUGCAUUCUGCUCAUGUCUAUGUGUGUGGAGCUAUAGCAGCAGCCCAAAGUAUUCGUUUGGCAGGGUCCACCCGAGACCUUGUGAUACUUGUCGAUGAGACAAUCAGUGAUUACCACAGAAGUGGACUUGAGGCAGCUGGGUGGAAAAUCAGGACAAUCCAAAGGAUCAGGAACCCAAAAGCUGAAAAGGAUGCUUACAAUGAAUGGAACUACAGCAAGUUCCGCUUAUGGCAGCUGACAGACUAUGAUAAGAUCAUUUUUAUUGAUGCAGAUUUGCUUGUGCUGAGGAAUAUUGAUUUCUUGUUUGGGAUGCCAGAAAUCUCUGCAACAGGAAACAAUGGCUCUCUAUUCAACUCUGGUGUAAUGGUGGUUGAGCCAUCAAACUGCACAUUCCAGCUUUUGAUGGAUCACAUCAAUGAGAUUGAGUCCUACAAUGGUGGAGACCAGGGGUACCUGAAUGAAAUCUUCACAUGGUGGCAUAGGAUUCCAAGACACAUGAAUUUCUUGAAGCAUUUCUGGAUUGGUGAUGAGGAAGAGAAGAAACAAAUGAAAACUCAUCUUUUUGGAGCUGAGCCUCCAAUUCUUUAUGUCCUUCACUAUCUGGGUUUAAAGCCAUGGCUGUGCUACAGGGACUAUGAUUGUAACUGGAAUUCGGACAUAUUUCAAGAGUUUGCAAGUGAUGUUGCUCACACUAGGUGGUGGAGAGUGCAUGAUGCAAUGCCAGAACAACUGCAGCAGUUUUGCAUGUUGGGCUCUAAGCAAAAGGCAGGAUUAGAAUGGGACAGGAGGCAGGCUGAGAAAGCAAACUACAGUGAUGGACAUUGGAGAAUCAAAAUAAACGAUCGUCGUUUACACAAGUGUAUUGACAACUUAUGCUCCUGGAAGGGCAUGUUACGGCACUGGGGCGAGACAAAUUGGACAGACGAUGAAAUUUUCACUCCAACACCACCUGCAAUCACCAUGGCAUCUCUUUCUGGCUAGUGAGUUGCAUUUUUCCUUUUCUCACCAUAUUUACUUUUGUAAAUGACACGAGUUCUGGAAAAUGGAUUCAUUUUUUGUUGUUGUUGUUAUCUUAUUCAUACGCAUAAAUAUGUCUUAGACCCGAUUCUGAGAACUGGGGAUAGUAGUUUUCAUCACCUUAGAUGCUUCUGAGGCUGAUUCAUUUACGGCUUUGUAUCAGAGUUGAGAGUCAUCUUAUAAAAGAAAACUCUUCUUUCCAUUUCUACUUGUAGCCAUGGAACUACAUGUGCCUAAGUACUCUAUAAUGGGAGUCCCACUAUGACUUUAUGGAUAAAUGUGGAAGUUGGAUGUAGUGGGCAUUGAAACGCUAGCCAUCAAUGACUGUAAGCCACAAUGUUCAGACAAUACUUAGACGACAAACAAACAAAUAAAUGAAUAUGACAGAUAAACUUGAAGAGCAAAGUGGGUAAGAGCACUAUGAUGGAAGUGGAUACCAUGUGAUUUGCCACUAUGAUGUUCUGGCAUAGGAUUUGGUUUCUAGAAUUUUUUAUGUGAAGCUGUGGUAUCUCAUAUGGUUCAGGGAAGAAGUUACUAGUAUUAUAUUUAUGUAGUAGACUUUUUUAACUGUAUUAAUUUUGAGGGUCUAUUGAAUCCAAAAGAUAAUAUCUAUAUAGGAUGGAGUGGGUCAUUAUACAAUUGUAUCAAAACCAAUUCUCGACCUCAAUGUUGGACUGCCCUGAUGUUGGACUGCCCUCAUAAUCCAAUGGGACACAACAAAAACAUUGUACUUGAAGGAGUUCUUAACACUAUUCCUAGAAGACUUCUCUUGAUUGUACAAACAUUUUUUAAAGUUGUGAGGCUUAUUGAGUCUAAAGUAAACAAUAUUUACACAGGACAGAGUGGUCCUUAAGAAAGAACUUUCAAGAAAUCUAGACAAAAUACAGUGUAAGAAGAAUGAUCUUCUCUUGCUAGAAUACAAGCUUUAGACAUUUGAUCAGUGUUCUGUAUCAGGCAAUUGUAUCUAGGAAGAGAAAACCACUGCAACUAGGCUCCAAGAAUAAGAAAGUCGGGGAACAUCUGAACAAAAAAAGGCCUUGUACAUCAAAAUCAAAUUUGACAUUUACUGCCUCGUGACAGCCAGAGACAGAGAGGCCUAAUCUUCUUUUACUCGCAUAGCCUCAUGUGAAAGUGAGAAUUAUAUCGUUGAAUAAAGUAUGACAAUGUCUUUGGCCUUUUCUAAGCACAAUCAUAUAGCAGUAAAAGCCAAAGUUGCCCUUCAGCAACACAACCUUAGAUGGCCCCUUGAGGGGCAGUGUAUGUGAACUGGCAAAAUGCCUGAACCAUUCAUCUCGAACAGAGGCACCCUGUAACACUUUGAAGGUCACCUCCUUUCCAACUCGCUCUACAAGUCUUCAAGGACAAAGUCAAGAGAUAAUGAUACUUUUGAGUCUAUGGAAAUCUGUCACCACAUGACCCGCUCAAAUUAUGCAACUCCCCUGUUUUCCACACAAGCAUAGUAUUAUGUCCGCCAAAGUCAUUGGCAAAGUCGCCAUUCCCCUUUGAUAAUAUGGCUGUAAGUUUGCUGAGUGAAAGUGAUUUUUUCAUGGCUUAAGUUUUGGUCACAAUUUCUUGGGAGAAAAGCAUAUACUGAGCUGUAUGAACGGCCAUUAAAGCAAAAACUUGUUGCUUCAACAGUGACUGUGCCACACAUUCAACCAAACCUUGUAUGGAGACCGUUAUGGCAAGGGACUAAGUAUCGCUACACCAUAGAUUUCAAAGUGAUGAAGAAAAGUAGAACUUUUUAACAUGAAGUCUCAAUGAUAAAGCAUGUGAAAAUCAUUUCUUCUGCAAAAAUUUUCACUUAAAAAGCGUCCCAAAGGACAUAGAUGUGGAAACAUGACUGCUACAUGAACCAGUGUAUACAUACCGUAAUGUUCAACUUCAGACGUCAAAAAUAAUUGAGUCACAGUCAUGGUGUGGGAAUGAAAUGGACUAUAUCCACUCUGUUUAAGCAAGACAAGCCUUAUUCAUUAAAAAAUGCAUGUUAUCACUUGGAAGGGAAGUAAAACCCUAGAAGGAAGAAAAGAUAUACGUGGCAGAAACUUUGAAAUUUCUCUCCUCUAUUAAUAGUUUGAGUACAACAUGGACUAAAAGCUUCUAUCACUAUGAAGGGAUCUAAACCUCCCUCUCAGAUAAUCUAUUUCUACAAAUGUAGCCGAUGUUACUAAUCAAGAAGUUGUAGGAAUCCACCCAUUACCUUGAAUGAAAUUCUGUACUGAAUACGUGUUUAAGUGCUGAGCAGGAAUCUGGCUACUCCAUGUUACUCUUGCAGACAAACUAGCUCCCAAUCCAGAAUUGUUGAAUUCCCCAUAAUAAAGUGUUUUUAAUGCAAAGUCACCACUCCAUGGCAGCCACCCUUGUGGUGUGACAAGAGGCUCCAAGAAGCACCGGAUAAAAACAGUCCUUGAAAACUCCUUCCAUGGCCUCCCCAAGAAGUUCUUGUGUACUUUAGGGUUGCUGUAGUACAACUUCAUGUAGUCGUCGGUGCCAUUGACCACACAAUUUUGGAAAACAAAGCCUGUGGUUUGGGCAGGGUCUGUUCUACCAUGUGCUGUCACAGCGUUGUUCUCCCCUUUUUCUGGUUUGAGUUGCCUGGGGCGGAUUAGGAUGAGGCAGUCUUGGAAGAUUGAAGCGGAGUUGCCAAAGAUGAAGUCCACGUUGCCUUGGAUGUUGCAUGAUUUGUAGAACUGGCGAAGGGAGUGAGCGUAGAGAGUGUCUUGAUUGCCUAAGAAUUCACAGUUCUCAAUCACUGAUAAAUCGCUACCUGAUCUGAAAGCUACAGCUUGGUGGGCAUCAGGACCGGCUGUGUUUUGGAAUGUGAGACCACUGGCCAUGAACCCAUCACCACUCACACCUGUGCCAUGAUCAAACACCAUUCGAUUGAUCAAUAGGACCAACAACGCCUUAGGAGUUAGGAGCAAGGAAACAAAGAAAACAGCGUGCAUGUUGGCUCACGUGUCAGCACCAUAGUGUGGGUCCUACUCGUGAAUUCCCAUACGUAAGUUUCAAACCAACUAACGUCCUAUCAUUCAGCACAAUUUUAAUAAUAACUAAAAUAACCUAUUACUAUGAAUAAUAAAUAAAUAUCAUACGCUUUCUGCGACAUAUAGUGUUCCUACUUCUACAUUUGAUUACUGCCUACCCUACGUGGCUAGAUGCCAUUGGCUAAAAUCAGAAAAGACCAUCGGAAAUUCAAGUAGUCGAUUAAUAUCACCCAAACAACUUACGACUUACCGACAGUGGCUGUGUUGUAGGUGGAAAUUCCAGGCUGGCCCACAUUCAACGAUCCCGUAAUUACCGUUUUACCCAUCCCAUCUCCCAAAAACACCACGUUCUUUUUUUCCAACGGCACCCGAACCGUCUCCUCAUAGACCCCUUCUCGAAUCCGAAUCACGAACUUCCGGUCACCGGCGUUAGCCGGCGCGGCGUCCACCGCUUCCUGCACCGUCUUGUAGCACCCGUUUCCGUCCUUGCACACGGUGGCGUCCGGCGGAAGACCAGUCGGAACUCCACCUUUGACCCCCAAUCCGGAUUCUUCGCCCAACCCGGAAGGCUCCCAGAAGCCGUCUCGCUCCGUUUUGGGGGGCCUCCAGGACCCGAUGUCGUUCCCGAAAAUAUCGUAAGAUGCCAUCAUGCUUAGACCGUUGCUGCUCAGCCCAAGAAGGGAGUCUAAAAACGACAUCGUUUUGUUCACCUGUUGAGUGUCGUUGGCGUACUUCAAAGCCGACCAGCAAUCGUACUGGUAUAGUAGAGCCGCGCUCACCCAGGCCCUCGCGUCCUUGAUCUUCCCAUGUGGCAGAGCCUCCAUCGUCGAUGAGAUCCGGUACUCGGAGUUAUGCAACACCUCCAGGCAGUUCUUCGCCGCCGUCGUCCGAUUCAGGUUCCGUGCGGAUGCGUCCAGGAUGUCCUUUACCAUGGACUGCGCCGUCUUGAGAUUCUCCAAGGAGACCCAUAAGGCUGAUUGGAUGACAUCGAUGGGCUUGGGAUCGGGAGGGACCCGAUCGGAAGCGAUCAGAGAGGCCUCGCAGGUUUCUGGGUAACGCGUAGCGGCGCAGGCCUGGUGGAUCUGGGGAGGAACAGAGGCGGUGGAGGGCUGGGGGGUGAUGGGUUGGGGGAAAUGCGGGAGGGAGUGGCGAGGGCUAUGGUGGUGAGAGGCGGAGGAGAGGGAGAAGAAGAGGAAGAGGGAGAGAAGAGCGAGAAGGAAGAGAGAAGCCAUGGAGAGGAUAAGGAAUUUAGAGAAGGAGUGGGGCUUUAUAGGCUUUCUGGAGUGCAUGAUGAUAGUGGAAAUGGGGUUUGGAUUGUAGCGAAUAUUAGAGAAGAAGAGACUAGGAGGAAUGGAAGUCACGGGUGGCUUCUCACGGGUGUGAAGAUAGAAAUCGGUGAUUCUGUUAUUGGCAGCAUUGACUAGGCGUGGAAUGUAAAGCAGAUAAAACCAAGCCACUUACCACUAGGUCUGUAUUUUGGGUUGUGCCUCAUACCUGCACCACCUACCUCCCUCCCUCCCUCCCUCCCUCCCUCCCUCCCUCUCCCUGACUCAGAACUCACAAAGGGAAAGACCCAACAAUUAGGGGACAGAGGCUGUUUUCCAGAGAACCAUAAACCCGCCCUUUUAAUUGACUUUGUCAAUGCUUUCCCAUCUUUUCUCCUUUCAUCGCUUUCCAACUUAAUGCGCGUAUUUUGGUCAUUUUCAGGUAAAUCAGAGGCUCGUUCGAUCAUACUGUAACCACCAUAUGGAAGGCUUGGAGUCUACGCUACUUGGAUUUUAAUCUGAGUGAGUGAAGGCAAAAUGAAUAUGAGAAGAGAGCAAUUAAAAUUAAGAUAAUGCAAGUUGCAGCUAAUGUAAUUUGUCUAGGAAUUGGAAUGAAAUUGGCCGGUAUAGUUUGGAACAAGAACUAAACCACUACGGAAUCUUGGAUAUCUGAAGUUGUAGAGACAAUCAAGUGAGUCGGUGGCAUACAGUGGAAAGCACACUAAGGUAAGUGAUAUUGUAUUUAAUUGUAAUAUAAAUAAAAUAGUGUGAUUUGCUAUAUGCGUUAUAAGUAUUUUUUUUUUUUAAAAAAAAGAACACCAGCCUACUAGACUUACAACUCACUAGAAUAGAUGAAGAGAUAUGUUUGGUUACUAGGAAAAUAUAAGCAAAAGAAAAUAAAAAUUAAAAAUAAAAUGCCGAGGAAAGUGAAUAUAUAUAUAUAUAUAAAGUUAAUAAAUUAUUUAUUUGUUUUAAAUUUUUUUAUUAUAAGAAUUAAAUAAUUUAAAAACGUAUAAAUUUUUAAUCAGUUUUAAUUAUAUUUGAUUUUUUUUUUUUGCUAUUGUUUUUAUAAGAUCAUAUGAGAAAAUAAUUUUUUAAAUAUUUUUUUAGUACUUUCUAAGAAUCAAUCACGGUGAAUGAGUUUAGAGAGAGAAAUGUUCAUUAUCAGUGGAGUUUCUUGAAUAAUAAAAGUUGCUCCUCAAAACCAAAGUAGGUAUCAAAAGUAAGACCAAGAUAAAUACAGAGUCUUGUUUGUUGGAUUGACUUUUGAAAAAUCAAAAACUCUUUUUCAAACUUGAUAAAACUUUUAUGCUUUUUUGACUAAUUUUGUUGAAAAAUAUAUGCUUUGAAAAAAACUUAAUAUAAAAACCUAGAAAAUAUUGCUUCUUAUAAAAAUUCUAUUUUGAAGUAUUUGAGAAUAUGACCUUUUUUUUCUUUGAAUGUUAAAAAAAAACAAUUGAAGAAAUUAAAGUCUCUUUUGCUUUGGAUUUGGAGUCAUAUUUAGGUGGUAUUUGUUUUUUGAUUGAAUAGAAAAAUCUAAAAUAUUUGAUUUUUUUUAUUCAACUAAAAAUAGUCUGUUGACAUCAUCUAACAUAACUAAAAUAAAUUGGUUAUCAAUAAGUUCAGUUUAAUUAUAUUGAUUGAUAUCAACAAGUUACUUUUAACUGAAUAAAGAAACUAAAAUAUUUUAACUUUUUCUAUUCAGUCAAAAAACAAACGUCAUCUUCCUGUUUUACUUUUUGAUGACUCCAAGGCCAUAUUUUGGAAUUCCUUCUCUAGCCUUUUUGCUAGCACAAUGUUAAAUUGAAGAAGGGAGGUCGAUUAAGCUGACUUUAAUUGUUACGGCAAGUUUAGUGACCCAAGCAAUGAUAGGAGAGUCUUCAUCUUCGAUUUCAACUGCUACUACAAUUCGUAGCAAAUCCAUUGAAUCAACUAAUUAUAGUAAAAUUGAAGGAAAAUAAUUUUUCUUAUGGAAGCAUCAAGUAGGUUGUAGGAUUAAGGGUUAUAAAAGGGAAGGUUUCAUUUUUUGAGACUCGAUUUGAUGAAUUCAACCUUUAAUAUUGCCCCAUCAAAGUCAGGAUCAACUUCUGAUGUCUUGGCUUUUUGCUUGCAUGAGUCUUGGUUUUCUCCUACAACUUGUCAGUUUUGAUACUGUUGAGGAUGUUUGGAGCAUUUUAUUUAUUCGAAUAAAUAAUGUAGCAAUCACUCUUUAGAAUUUGUGUUUUAUUAUGAUAAUUCAAUUUCUUACUGGUUUGAACUAUGACAUAAGAGGCUAGGUCACCCAGCACCAAAAUUUGUUACUAGAGUUUUCUCACAUUAUAAAAUACAAUUUCCCUUGUAAAAGAGAAAACAUGGACAAUGCUAGAACUUGGACUUACCUUGCUUACUUAGGCAUCAAUGCCACUCACACUAGAAGAUGGCUACAUCCCUUAGCUACGGCCGCAUGUAGUAGCUAGUGUGACUUGAUGAUCUAAAGUUGUGGCCACUAUCGCAUUCUUUUCACGACUAAAGGCUUUGUAUGUUUGCGACUAAUCAUAACAGCAACCAUAAGCGUGUAGAAAUAGAAAUGCUAACAGCAUAGUGUUAGACAUGUGCUACGGCCAGUGGAUGGCUGCCACUAUAGGUUGUGAUGUGGACACAGUCACGCUUGAUCAUGACUAUAAGGUCAUUUAUAUAUAUAUGAAUAAAUCAAAGCAAUUACAAAGCAUUCGUUCAUCUGUUUUUACAUUUAUAAUCAAAAUACCCUAUUUAGAGUUGUUACAAAUGAUCGAAUUAGUCAUAAAUGAAUCCCUAUUGAGCUCACAUUGUCAAAAUCAGUUGGUAUUUGUUGGCAAAGAAGCAAGUUUGAGAUUCAUGAAUCAUUCAAACAUCUACAUUGAACAAGAAGAUUCAUGAAAGUGUUGUCAUUAGAGAAAUUCAAAAUUGAUUUAAUAACUUCAUGCUAUUCAUAAAUCAUUAACAUAGUAUCGUGUCUGCGAGUCAAAGUCAUUAGCAAAGUCGCCAUUCCCCUUUGAUAGCGUGGCCGUAAGUUUGUUGAGUGAAAGCGAUUUUUUCAUGACUUUAAGUUUUGGUCACAAUUUAUUGGGAGAAAAGCAUAUACUGAUCAGCUGUAUGAAUGGCCAUUAAAGCAAAAACAUGUUGCUUCAACAGUGACUGUGCCACACAUUCAACCAAACCAUGUAUGGAGACCGUAAUGGCAGGCUACUAAGAAUCGCUACAUCAUAGAUUUCAAAGUAAUGAAGAAAAGUAGAACUUUAUAACAUAAAGUCCAAAUGAUAAAGCAUGCUACAAAUUUUUUCAACUUGAAAAGCGUCCUAAAGGACAUAGAUGUGGAAACGUGACUGCUACAUGAACCAGUGUAUACAUAUCAUACUGUUCAACUUCAGAUAUAAAAAAUAAUUGAGUCAUGGUCAUGGUGUGGGAAUGAAAUGGACUAUAUCCACUCUGUUUAAGCAAGACAAGUAUUAUUCAUUAAAAAAUGCAUGUUAACACUUGGAAGGGAAGUAAAACCCUAAAAGGAAGAAAAGAUAUACGUGGCAGAAACUUUGAAAUUUCUCUCCUCUAUUAAUAGUUUGAGUACAACAUGGACUAAAAGCUUCUAUCUCUGUGAAGGGAUCUAAACCUCCCUCUCAGAUGAAUCUAUUUCUACAAAUGUGGCCGGUGUUACUAAUCAAGAAGUUGUAGGAAUCCACUCAUUACCUUGAAUGAAAUUCUGUACCGAGUACAUGUUUAUGUGCUGAGCAGGAAUCUGGCUACUCCAUGUUACUCUUGCAGACAAAUUAGCUCCCAAUCCAGAAUUGUUGAAUUCCCCAUAAUAAAGUGUUUCUAAUGCAAAGUCACCACUCCAUGGCAGCCACCCUUGUGGUGUCACAAGAGCCUCCAACAAACACUGGAUAAAAACAGUCCUUGAAAACUCCUUCCAUGGCCUCCCCAAGAAGUUCUUGUGUACUUUAGGGUUGCUGUAGUACAACUUCAUGUAGUCGUCGGUGCCAUUGACCACACAAUUUUGGAAAACAAAGCCUGUGGUUUGGGCAGGGUCUGUUCGACUAUGUGCUGUUACAGCGUUGUUCUCCCCGUUUUCUGGGUUGAGUUGCCUGGGGCGGAUUAGGAUGAGGCAGUCUUGGAAGAUUGAAGCGGAGUUGCCAAAGAUGAAGUCCACGUUGCCUUGGAUGUUGCAUGAUUUGUAGAACUGGCGAAGGGAUUCAGCGUAGAGAGUGUCUUGAUUGCCUAAGAAUUCACAGUUCUCAAUCACUGAUAAAUCGCUACCUGAUCUGAAAGCUACAGCUUGGUGGGCGUCAGGACCGGCUGUGUUUUGGAAUGUGAGACCACUAGCCAUGAACCCAUCACCACUUACACCUGUGCCAUGAUCAACAGUUAAUCAAUAUGACCCACAACGCCUUAGGAGUUAGGAGCAAGGAAACAAAGAAAACAGCGUGCAUGUUGUCUCACGUGUCAGCACUAUAGUGUGGGUCCUACUCGUGAAUUCCCAUACGUAAGUUUCAAACCAACUAACGUCCUAUAAUUUCAGACCCUUCAGGAUUUUAAUAAUAAAAUAACCUAUUACUAUGUAAUAAUAAUUAAAUAUCACACGCUUUCUCUAUCAUAGUUGGGCUAAAAUAUAGUGUUCCUACUUCUACAUUUGAUUAAUGGAUACCAUACGUGUCCAGAUUUCAUUGGCUCAAAUCAGAAAAGACUCAACUUCGGAAAUUCAAGCAGUCACCGUCCAAUUAAUAUCACACAAACAACUUACGACUUACCGACAGUCGCUGUGUUGUAGGUGGAAAUUCCAGGCUGGCCCACAUUCAACGAUCCCGUAAUUACCGUUUUACCCAUCCCAUCUCCCAAAAACACCACGUUCUUUUUUUCCAACGGCACCCGAACCGUCUCCUCAUAGACCCCUUCUCGGAUCCGAAUCACGAACUUUCGAUCUCCGGCUUUAGCCGGCGCGGCGUCCACCGCUUCCUGCACCGUCUUGUAGCACCCGUUGCCGCCCUUGCACACCAUGGCGUCUGGUCGAAGACCAGUCGGAACUCCGCCUUUGAACCCUAAUCCGGAUCCUUCGCUCGACCCGGAAGGCUCCCAGAAGCCGUCCCGCUCUGUUUUGGGGGGCCUCCAGGACCCGAUGUCGUUCCCGAAAAUAUCGUAAGAUGCCAUCAUGCUUAGACCGUUGCUGCUUAGCCCAAGGAGGGAAUCUAAAAACGAUAUCGUUUUGUUCACCUGUUGAGUGUCGUUGACGAACGUCAACGCUGACCAGCAAGCGUACUGGUAUAGUAGAGCCGCGCUCAUCCAGGUCCUCGCGUCCUUGAUCUUCCCAUGUGGCAGAGCCUCCAUUGUCGAUAAGAUCCGGUACUCGGAGUUAUGCAACACCUCCAGGCAGUUCUUCGCCGCCGUCGUCCGAUUCUGGUUCCCUGCGGAUGCGUCCAGGAUGUCCUUCACCAUGGACUGCGCCGUCUUGAGAUUCUCCAAGGAGACCCAUAAGGCUGAUAGGAUGACAUCGAUGGGCUUGGGGUCGGGAGGGACCCGAUUGGAUGCGAUCAGAGAGGCGUCGCAGGUUUCUGGGUAACGCGUAGCGGCGCAGGCCUGGUGGAUCUGGGGAGGAACAGAGGCGGUGGAGGGCCUGGGGGUGAUGGGUUGGGGGAAAUGCGGGGGGGAGUGGCGAGGGCUAUGGUGGUGAGAGGCGGAGGAGAGGGAGAAGAAGAGGAGGAAGGAGAGAAGAGCGAGAAGGAGGAUAGAAGCCACGGAGAGGAUAAGGACUUUAGAGGAGUGGGGUUUUAUAGGGUUUCUGAAGUGCAUGAUGAUAGUGGAAAUGGGGUUUGGAUUGUAGAGAAUAUUAGAGAAGAAGAGAUUGGGAGGAAUGGAAGUCACGGGUGGCCUCUCACGGUUGUUAAGAUAGCAGUGGUUGAUUCUGUGGUUGGUAGCAUUAAUUGGGCGUGGAAUGUAAAGCAGGUAAAGCCAAGCCACUUACCACCAGGUC
rnacentral:lncRNA from 1 species